UUUAUAAUAUAAUAAUAUGCCAAUCCAUAACCAACUGUGCACUACCAAACAGAUUACAUAUAUAUAUGUAAAAUAUCACUCAUAAUCCUAAAAAUUUUAUAUAUAAAUAUUCUAAACCCAAAAAACCUAGAUCCAAAUCAAACACUCAAUAAUAAAACUCUAAUAAUAAGUAAUAAAUCUGAAUAAUCAAUGACAUUACUUAAACCACCUAUCAUCCCUCAGAUCUUCAAUCCAUAGCCAAAUAGGAGAGCAGCGACCGAUGCAACGCAAGCAGAGGCCACCGAAGGUGAGAUCGCGCCAGCUCCAGAGGCGGGGGCUGGAGCAGGAGCAGACUCCGGAGCGGCAGCGUUAGCAGAGAGAACCGCAAGAAGCAGAGCCAUAACAGCAAUGAGAGAGGCCUUGGAGAGAAAAGCCAUUGUUCUUUGAAUGUCUGGUUAGGGAUUUUUUUAAAUUUGAGAGAAAUGCGCAGACAAACAAAGGAGAGGAUUCUAGAUUGCGACGGGUUUGUUCGUAGAGGCGAAGGCGUACUAGUCAGGGGAUUAUAUAGUGGGAAAGAGUAGGUUUAGGACAAAGUGGUAAAUUUUUACGGUCAGCUGCCCGAAUUUACAGCCUGGCGAAUGGUGUAGUCACAGCCGGUCAUUCAAAAGAAAAUGACAUCCGGAGCAUUCUCUCUCUUGUGGAGUAAUUUUCAGAGAGGGUUUUAUUUUUGUUACGGCGCCGUUUAAUGUCCAAAUUAAGAAUUUAUUCUCUGUUCUACUGGAAGAAGAGAUCAAAAUCACGAGAGAACCAGCGUGCGUUACAAAUGCGAAUUGUUUUGUAAACAUUUGGCAUAACAGUGGGGUCCGUAGAUAAAUGAACGAUAAACAGAGCGAGUGUAUAUGUUGGCGCGUGCUUCGUUUUUGUUUGAUUAUAUAUGAAUGAAUGUUUAGCGCAAUAAAUUACGCGAUUCGAUGGAGAAAUUAGAAAAGAUGGGCGAUUCAAAAUAAGGGCCCACAAACGCACUACUAUGGCCAUCGGAAAAGGACUCGUUGCAACGGCAUUAUUUUUUAACUUUGUAUUUUAUUUUGAAUUUGUCUGCCAUAUGAUUUGACAUUCUUUAUUGUCUUCCAGAACCUUUUUUUUAUAUGAAUGGCCUGGCCAGCGGUUAAUGAAACUUAAGGAAGUAGAGGCUACUACAAUUUCAACUUCAAAUUUGGCAAUUUCGGUUACAUUCUAACGCGUUUCUCACAGAUUUCGGUUAUUUAAAAAAAAUAUAUCCGUUCAAAACUGGGGAUAUGAGAUGAUCGGACGAGUUGUUUGUUUUGGAUUUUUAUUUUAUUUGUUUAAACAAUAACGGAAUAUGCUUUUUUUUACCUUUCAAAAAAACGAAAUAUGCUUUUUUUUUAUCUAUUUACAAAUUAAACUUUUUCAGGAUGAAAAAUUUUCUUAUAAAGUUGAUAUAAUGAUUAUAUAAUCUAUUAGAUGAGAAUAUAAAAUUAUCUCUUACAAUUAUCAUUCAAAAAAACGAAAUAUAAUUAUCAUUCAACAAUCAAUUCUUAAUAUUAAUUCUUAACAAUUCAAUAUUUUAACUUUUUCUUUUCUUUUUUUUUUUUUAUAAAUGUACUAAAUUUUUAGUAAUUUUUUACAAUUUAUAUAUAUAUAUAUUUAAAACUUUGAACAGUUAAAAGAUUUAAAAUUUUUGAAUUUUUAAAUUUAAAAUUUUAAAAUUUUUGAAUUUUUAAAUUUAAAUUUUUAAAACUUUUGAAUGGUUUUCUUAUCUAUAUACUUAUAUAUAUGUAUCUAUAUAUUCAUUUUUUUAAUGAGUUUCAAUGAUCUUUCUCACUAGAUUAAGGAAUACUUAUUUUAUCUUCUUGUAUCUAUCCAUUAAGUUUUUUAUGAUUAUUACCUCAAAAAAAAAAAAAAAAACAAUUUUUUAUGAUAAUUAAAAAAAUCAAAUCACUUAAAUUAUAAUGAUGUUCUUUUUAAUUUCAAUCUUACCCUUAUCUCUACUAAACACGAUAAUUAUUUUCUAUAAAUUCUUAAAUUUCACGUCACUUCAUUCUUUAUUUAUCUAAAUUAAUAGAGAGAGAAUUAAGUCGAAAUAAAAUUAAAUGAGGUAAAAAGUAAUUUAGUUAUAUCACAUAAGUAUUUUAUUAUAACUUUAGGUGAUUUAAUUACUUCAUUAAUCAUCGCAUUAAAAAUUUUCUAAUGACAAAAAAAAAAAAAAAAGAAAUGAGUACCGAUUUAUUAUUAUUUUUUUAAUAAAAAGACUCUCGUACCCUUAUUUUAUACUACCAAUUAUUAUCAUUAUAUUUUGUGUGUAUAUGCAACGAGUUUAUACAAAUCUUUCCCUUUCAUUAAAUUGUGUUGCAAAUAUUAAAAAUUAACAAUUGAUUGCUAUAAAAGGUUCUUAUGAUCACUCAAAUAUGCUCCAAACUCAAAAAUUGCAUUUUCAAGGUAUCUUUUUAAACUUUCACAAGAAUGGGAGGAGGGUGAAAUAGGAAAACGUGCGCUACAAUGAAGCACAUUAAUUAGGAACGUGCAAUACUGGUCCUAGCUACUUAAUAAUUUGUGACGGAAUUUGAAAAACUAAGACCAAAAUGAACCCAUGUAAUUGUCACAACUGAAAACGCUGUUGGUGGAAAAAAUCUUGGUAAUUAUACAAACAAGGACAUGGUUUCCAUCAAAUAACAGCAGUAAGGGACUCAUUAUACCCUCUUGGAGAAAGGGAGAUGAGUUAUAUAAAUAAUUUAUUUUUCAUUCUAAUCUGUAAACAGUCACAUCCAAUUAUUCUUACAUAAUAAAGGCCAACAUCAAUUAUGUGUGGGGUGGGGCUUCACUACCAUAAAUUAGAUACUCUGCGAAGGCCAGUUGAGAAACUGAAAACUAAAUAACAGUAAUUAAAAACAUGCUGUUGGGUGAAAUUAUCCAAUAGGUAGUUAUUUCUUAAAAAAAGAAAAAGAAAAGGAAAAACCAAUUAUGAUAUGCUGAUCUCUAAUACUGAAAAAAUGUGAAAAUAUAAUGCAAACUGAACUGGGUAUGCAUUACCUGUACAUAAUAUAAUUUUGGACAGAAGCACUCCAAAAGAAGUAUACAAGCAAGAAACCACAUCCUAUCACCAAAAGUAGUUACUGCAUAAAAAUAUCUAAGCUGCAAAUAAUGAAAUUUCUCAUUUUCUUUUGAGCUACUUUUCACUGUUUAAAAUUAGUUGAUGAGUUCUGCUGUCAGAAACCCAGGACCGAUGGUGCUAUAUGUAAUAGAGGUUCCAAUGCACUCGGCGCAAAUUUUCUCCCGAAAAGAAAACAAAUAGAAGAAGGCUGAUUAUUGUAAGUGCAGUGCUGACCUUCGAAAAAUUUUCUGAAGAAAUCCUCUGUUAUAUCUGCUCUUCCAAAUGUAGCUGGGUGAGCUCCACCUCUUGACCAAUCAACCCAUGUAAGGCUUCUAUUUGCUAUGAGAUGCGCUGCUUGAAUGUUUAGCAUGGUAGGGAAAUAAUGUUCAUCAACAUAACAAUUUGGCUUACAGAAUUCUUCAAAUUUUGGGUAAUAUUUAGUAUCUUCCACAAUGGUAACUGCAAGCCUUCGAUUAACCUCGAACCACUGAGACCCUUUUCGCCACUGGCUAAUGUUCACUUCAGGUGCCAUGUUUUCAUUAUAUCGUCCUCUCCCAUAUGGACCAGGGUCAUCAAAAGCACCAACAAAGCUAUACUUGGAUCUCAUUAUGUAGUGAUAGAUAACAGUGAAAUUAUAAAGAGGAAUGCAUGAUUCAGAUAGGAGAAUGAACCAUUCAUUGGAGAUAUCUAGCAAUGCAUUAGCAAGAAGCCUUCUUUCAGCGUCACACAUGUUCAUCUUACCCCAUUCAGAAAUCUGCAUGGUGAACAACAAAUGAAUAGUAAGCUACAUAGCCAUUCAGGAAUGAGAAAAUAAAUGAUACCAUGCACUUUAACCAAUUGCUAGAAUCGUAAAGCUUCCUUGAUCAAAAGUAUAUAGAAGAUAUGAAUUGUACAUAUGAAUUGUAUAGCUUUAUGAUUCUUAAUUAUGGAACUUCCUAUUAUCAUUUUCUAGGAAGGGUUCACCAUCAGCUUCUUGAUGAAAGCAAAUCGUAGAACUGCUAAAUGGGCAACAUGUACAAAAUUAAUCAAAUGAAAGUCAGAAACAACCAAGAAAAUGUGUAAAGCUUAUGUACAUUGCAUUUAAGAAAUAAGGAAUAAGGGCCAAAAUACAGUUUGAAACAGAGUGCCAGAUAAUUUAAUUUCCACCUGUCAUUUUGUGUGUUCAUAUAAACCUCAGCAGCACAAUUACUUGACAACCAAAAGAAUGCCAUGAAUGAAUAUGUGCUCUAUUGUUGCUCAUCUCGGCAUCCAAGCAUGGUUGCAAUUUAAUUAAUUCUUUUUACUCACAACUAGUCAUCCUUAAAUAAAGCAGUCUAAAGCACCAUAUCACAGCCCUUUCAUGACAACAAACCAGACAGUCAUCACAAGUUGGAACCUAACUUUUGUCUGGACAGCCAUUAACAAUUCCAUGUAUAUCAGCAAUCAAUUAUAGUAAGGUGAACAUUUCUUAUUCUUCUCUGUACUGGUCUCUAGAAAGUGAUACAGACACACAUCUUCUGUAUCCUAAUACAAAUAUAUUUUACUCCCAAUAUUAGCCUUUUGUACACUCUACUCAUCAGAAGUGGAAUAUUUUUCAACUUAGAUGAACUCAGAAAGAUCAGUUGUCCAGACACAGCAUACAAAGGUUAAGGCAAAGGAAGAUACGCUGCUGUAUUUAAAUAUCAUAGACAUUUUAUUGCAUCUUCUCUGCUACUCAGGAUAGAGUUAACAAUUUUCUAAGAUUUCAUCUUAACAUUCAGACAGUCUGUAGCCUAAUAGAUUUUCAGUUUUAAAAACUCCAGCCACAACUCAAAUAAUGAAAACAACAAAUCUGAUACUAUAUUUGACUUCAAGAACCUAACUCUAGCUCUCUGUGCCUGGGUUUCCCCUUCUUUCCUAAACUACUGCAUGUCUGAUGGAAAAAAUAACAUCAUGUGUAAUUGCAACCGGACAAUAUCAUCAUACAGCCGGAAUAAGGAAUAAGGAUCAAGCCUUGAUAUCAUACAUCAUACGGUCUCAUGGCUUGUCUCAGAGUCAAAAAUAUUAGUCCUAACUGUUGCAUUCUCUAACAAUUCCUUCACCUAAAUUUCUGAUUAUGGUCAACAAACUCAAAGGAUCCUUCAUCUCAAAACAAAUCCAAAACAUACUAGCUAAAUCCCAAAUUCUUUCUCACCCCAAUCUCCUGGGCCAAAUUCCUCCAUCCAAGCCUAUUGUUUUAUCUCCUGUGUUAAUUCUAAUAAACAGGAAAGCAGACUUGGGAAAGAAAAUAAAAUUAGCUUAUAAUGACCUGAAAUCUGUUUCAACUUCCAACACCAUGUACCACAUAAUGAGUACGACCAUGGACCUCUUGGAUUUAAAAUCAUCCAAACAAGUUAAUAUAGCUAUUCCUAUACAUAUAAUUUCACCAUCGAACAUAAAAAAUGCAAAACAAAAACAAGAAUGUUUUACAUAGAAACGUAGCUACCUGACUUGGGACCUGUCUUCCAUGAAAAACAGACGACGGUGGAAAUUUGGCUUCAAAGGUUGGCAGUGAAUGAAUAUAGAUUGAAUACAGCCCUUCAUGCCCUCUCAAGAACCUUUCCCAAAGAGGUGCCAGAGGCAGUGGCCCCUUUGUUAAGAACAUAAAUGCAAUCUUCGGAACUCUCUUGAAGGGAUACUUUUUAAUUCUAGGAACAAGAGAAGCUCUCCAUAAGAGCUCUUCAUCAUUCAUCUUGUGAAGCAGAUUUGAAGGAGGCUUAAUCCAACGGUCCAAAGCACUCGGUUCUUCAAGGCAUGGCUGGAAAUUGGUCUUAACGUUUGUAACCACAUUAUUAACAACACCAAAACUUUUGAUUGCGUAUAUACUGAUUAUUGAAAAUGCGACACAUAAAGCCAGAAAAAGCAGAAACAACUGGAGUAACCUUAAUGGAAACGCCUUGGGUUGGCUCGUUUUGAUUGGAAUCGCAGGGUCCUUGCCCUCCUCUAAUGGAACCACCCUCGAUUGCAUCCCUACAACGAUGCUAUAUCCAAAUUCACUUUCUGAGUUCAAUAUACAAACACUCUCUUCGCAUUGGAGUAGCUUUAAACCCUCAAAGUUCCAACACAAAUCGUGCUUUGUCUCCAGACACCAAAAUUUCUUACCACAAAAUUAAUGGCCCUCAAAUUGCCCGAGAAACUUCUUGCAACAAAAUAGCAAUACAGAUCUAGAAGUUGAUGCUACAGUACACAAAUAGGUACGUAGCGUUGAAAUCAGAGUUCGAAGCACAUGGGUUUUAGGCAAACAGCGAUUCAAUCAAAGCUUUUAUCCAAGAUCGAAGGAUAUGGGAUCAGUGAGAAAGUGAAAAGAAGUAGACAACAUAACAUGUUACUAAUAAUGGUGAAUAGUCAAGGAUCCUUUACUAGUCCAUUUGGUGCUUGAAUUGGUCAGAUUGCGAACUUGCGAUGAAAGAAAGAAAAGAAAGAUACUGUGCUAUAGAAAUGGCAGUGAAAACAAACAAAUGUCCAGUGGGUAGAGAGACAGAGAAAGAAGGCGGUUUAACUCCUACAGAGUGGAAGUGAUAUGGAGGAAGAGAAAGUUACGCAUAGGAGUAGAAAUUUUUUCUUAAAUGACAUAAGAGAGGGAUGACUCUGUGAAACAAAUCUGGGUAUCCACGAAUGUUUGUUCACACUAUAUGAGAAGAUAAGGGGGACUUUCUCUCUUCUAGUCUUCUCUUGUGACCUGGCACGUCUUAUGCUUAGAUCUUUUCAAAGUUGUAUUGUUAUCAUAUGGGUACUUUCGCUGUAACUAACAGAACACAAUUUGAUUGGUUUGAAGGGUAGCCUCGCUGUAUAAUUUUGUUUUUCCCAUACUUAUCUUGCUAGAAUUAAAUUUUGAAAUGUCAAAACAAAAAUAAUAUAUUUUUUAUUUAUAAAAUUUUUAUUUCAGCAUAAAUAAUUAUUUUUAUUCCUGUAGUUAUUGAAAAUUGAAAAAGAGAAAAAAAGAAAUAAAUAGGAAUAUACUAGAAAAAUAAAAAUUAAUUGUAUAUGUUUAAAAAGAAAAAAGUGAUCUAUCUAUAAUUUAAGAUAAAUGAAAAAGGAAACAUCCAUUUUGUAGGAAUAAGAUGGAGAGAACAUUAUUUACUACCAAUAAAUAUAAUUAGAAAGUGAAAACCCGAUUUAACCCCUGUCGAUGGGGUAGUAUUUUUCUUAAAGGAAAAUCAAACUGAUUUAUAAUAUCAUCUCCACCACUACCACUAUAACUAAUAAUAAUUUAUCUAUAAUUAUUGGUUCUGUGUUAAACAAGAUAAUAAACACACAAUAAUUUAUGUAAUGCAGUACUAAAUAUUAUAUUAUGCAAUGUCAAUGUCUACCUAAAAAAGAAAUGCUUUAGAUAUUUUUUUUAUAUAAAUAAAUAUGUAAUUUUGGACAAGUUGUAAUCAUCCUAAAUGGGACACGAUAUUCACUAUAGAGCUGCGGAGUUCCCAAUCCCGAUCUGUAUCCAACGAGUCAUGACGUAUCGGCUGGCUUAAUUCUCGCCAUUAUGCAGGCAUAUAGUUCAGAGGAACAGGAUUUGAUCUGUGUUGAGUCAUUGGUGAACUAACUAUCACUCAACGACUUCUCAAUUGCCGGCAAAAAAAAUCCAUAUUAUUGGGAUCUGAAAAGCAAUCAAUUUUAUUAUACUAGUUAAAUCCAACACCACUAGGAAACCGCGCAAGCCCAACAAAAACUCUCUCUACAUUCUUUUUGUUUUAAAAAAUUUUCUAAUCCAAGUUUUCCUUCCGUAAAAAAAAUAUUAUGAUUCCUAAAACGUAAAACUGGAAGAUUAGAUGACCUGGGAAAUGAAAUUGGAUGAUUUUGAUAUUAAUGUAACAAAGACAUUAUCUGCCACGACUCUCCACGGCCAUAACCAACAACCAAUGCCAUAUGAAUGCAUGUAUUGUGAGGUGAGAGUGGAGACGUGCGAACAACACCACCUAAAUUGAUUUUAACCCUUCUAUCUGCCAGGAAAGGUGACCUAGCUGCUUCACUACCAGUCAACUACAACAAACUCCGGUUCAAAAAUAGGGACAUAUUGCUUCUGUGACAGCAACCGUUCUAUUAAUUAUAUGAAUACUUUUGAGUUUAUUAAGGCUUUGGCUUUGAAAGAGUAGGCCAUGCUCAUCAAGGUAGUUGAAAAGGUUUCAUAUGGAGCUUAGAGGGACCUCGUCUCAUAUGGGGAUUUGGGGGGCCAGAAGCAGGUGGAUUUAUGUGAUCAGUUUUCUUCUGAACUUCAGGAUAUUUAUACUGAAAUUGAUUCCAAGCAGGCUAUUUCUUGCUAUGAAUCUGCUUUAAGAAAUCUUUGCUCGAAAGACAUAGUUAAACAAGGAAAUGAUUGUAAUGGCUUAACGGCAACAGAUGCUUCCUCCCAUGGAACUUUGAGCGUCAUAGGCUGUAAUACCUCUCACACCAGAAACAGACCUUUUCACAAGACAAAUCGUAUGUGCAUAGAAAAGAUGACUUGUGUAUGAAAGUUUUGUUUAAUUUGCCAGCCCCAAAACGCCGAGGGGAGUGAAUAUGUUCAUGGGACUGGCCAGUCCUAACAAUUGGUCCUUGCAGCUACAGAAUCAUGGUUUUCCUGAUCAUCGUUCCAAACUGUUCAAGGCAUUUUUUGGUCCAUAAAACACUUUGGUAAAAAACUAAUUUGUUCAAGCAGUACCAUGACCAAUAUGCAUGGGAUGCCGUGUCACAAAUGUAACUAUACACAUACUGGAAGAUGACAUAUCAAAAGCUUCAUAUCCCAAUUCUAUCUGUUAAUCAGUCAAAAGUGUGUAGAUUAUCUAUGGAAUAUAACCCAAACUUGAAAUAUUGUAUCAAACCAACACCAGACAUUGGUUUCAUGCCUACUACAUAUACAGCAGUCACUUUUCUACCUCAUCCACAAGAUAUCAGUUUGGUUUUCAAUACGAAGACAGCAUGCAGAAGGUAAAUAGUCUACUUGGCAACUUCAAAUUUAGAAGAAAGGUUGGAUAUCAUUACUGGGCACUCCCCUUUCUCAUCAUAUUCAGCAAAUUCACCUCCAGACAAAUCAAUGUUUUCAAACUUAGUCCCUGCAGUCUGCACAAAUGACAGGGUGUAAGAAAAAGAAAACAUAAACAUAACAUGAAAACACAUCAGAAAUUGUAAGAGAAGUGGAACUCCAGCGAAGCAUGUCUAGAAAUCUGUUUACUAGCUUGCGUUGAAUAUUUUGACAAGCAGUGUAGUUUAUACUUCUUAUUCUUCUUCUCUCUUCACAAACAUACACACACCAGCACAAAUAUGCUUUUGCUCAAAUGAUAUCAGAGACAAACAGACAAAGAAAACACGAGUUUUGCAGAUUAAGAAUAUCUAGCAUCCUUGGCAUUGAAGGAAACUAUAUGACACCAUUUUGUGUUGCAUAAGAUGUGACACGCUCGUCAAAAUAUUUCAUGAACUAGUAAUAUAGAGUAAUGUCUUAUACGUCCAAGUCCCAAUCUUUCAAACCUCUUAAGCUAGGUGGACAUGACUCUUUUUUUUUUUUUUUUUUUUUUUUUUUUUUUUUUUUUUUUUGAAUACUUGCAAGAUAAAACCAGCAGUGUCUUUACUGACUGAGAUCUUAUAAUUCCAUCAGAUGUAGUCAAAAAAUAAAAAAUAAAAAAAUAAAAAUAGCUUUAACUGAACCCAAAAACUUUUAUUGGUUCAAAUUCAAUAACAAAGACUCAAAGAGAGAAGAAAUGAAGGGGAGGAUUCAUGAUGAGAAACUUACAGAUUCAGCUUUCCAACCAUCACCAAAUACAAAACCCUCAGGCUCGUAACCUCUACAAUCAAACAUCAUCAAUGGGGCAUAUUCCCCUUUCUCACUGAUUUCUGGAGUUAGAGGUUUGCCUUUACCUGGUACCAUCAGUAUAGUUCCAUCCCUCCCACAGAACUUGCACUAUACAAAGAAAAGGGCAAAAAAAACAUCAUGCGCUAGUUAGCAUUAGAAAACAACCAUUUGGAGAUCAUAAAAUAUAGUCAAUGAAUUGAACUCCUGCAAUACAUGUAACUGAUAUCCCCAAAAACACCAUGAGAACACACCCACAGAGGCACAACAAGAUUAUUAUCAUUUGUCAUGAAACUGCAAUAUUAUGCCAAAUUUAUUUCGUUUGAAUCAGUGAAUUCUCAGGCACAGAACAGUUCUAAAUUACCUACAUCACCAAUUAGAUUCUGCGUGUAAAAUGGUGAUAAAUACAAUCUGGAACUAACAACUUUAUAUAAUCCUACAAAAUGAAUAUCCACGAGCGAGAGAGACUCUUACUUGGCCACAUUGAAAUGUGAGAACAAAGGAAAUUAAUAUGAGAGACCUUAAAAUGUUGCUAAUAUCCAAUCAACAGAAACAUAAAAUCGAGAUGUAGAAUCUGGAGUACCAUACACCAGCACGCAAGAUGAGGUAUAAACAUGUAGAAAACAAAAACAGAAGAUCUGCUUCCUUUCAAAUUUCCCAUCAACCAAAAGGAGAUUGACAGACAUAACAAAAGAAAUAAUUACCUUCUGAACAAGAUUAGCAGUUCCCCUGCCUGUUGGAAGAGGAACAGUGUCAUUCAAGCUUACACAUGUUUCUUUCUGGCUGACUUCUCCACACCUUCCACAUUUCAACUAGAUAUCCAAAAAAAAAAAAAGAAUUAACAGUCUCACAAGUAGAUUCAGAAACAAAUGAACCAGAUGCAAGCAAUAUCUCAAACAAACCGAGAUAGCAAAUACUGAGGAAAGGGGAUAAUAUCAAAAUAAUAGGAACAAAAAAACUGUAUCGUCAUUAUAAAUUGUCAAAGAUAAAACAAGGGAAAAGGAACUCGGAAGAACUAAACAGAACCUGUAAAACUACAAUGUAGAGAUCUAUCCAUGCAAUAAACUCAAAUCCAGUAGAAAUAUAGAUAAAUUUACACAAAAAUAUAAUGAAAACAUCAGAGUACCAUAAAUUGAAGAAACAACAGUAAAAUAGUAACUACCAUCACAUUAAGCUAAAAUUAUGUAGAUUAAAAUUUUGAAAAAGAAAAACCUAAAAAUAGGCGAAAGGGAAAGCAACAGCAGAGCUAAUAAGAAAUAGAGGAGAAUGAAAAGCAACAAACAACAGUAAAAUUCACUGAUUGAUUAGAACUAAUAAUUUCUUAAAAACAAAAAUGAAAUACAUAACAAAUAACUAUAAGAAUAUAGAUUCGAAAAGAAGAAAGAAAAUAUAGAGACAAUAACAACUUCAACAAAAAUGAAGAUGAUACACAAACCUAAUGAGACGAAGAAUGGCUAACAAAACAGCAACUGUACGCAUUAAAAAUGCAGUGAAGAACAAGUGUAAGCGAAAACGCCAACCUCCACAAAAUAAAAAAUCCUAGUGCAUAUACAAUGCUAUUUCAUAUUAUAAGUAGAGAUGAAGAGAAGAACAAGGGAGGAGAUUUUGAAGAAACCUUGAACAGGUAGGAAAAAGAAGGAUCAUCGCAGCCGCCCUGAGGCUGGAGGCUGGCGAUGUUCUCGAGAUCGGCGGUUAUCAUUAGCAUGUAGUUCACCAUUUUCCACUGGCUUUUGCGUCAAAAUCAAGCUGUCCUUUUCUCUCUGCGCUCUCUGUACAGUAGGUGAAAAUGCUGCUCGAGAAGGCUUUUCACCGCUUUUGACCCUUUUCAUAGCACGAGACCUUGACUUUUGGAUUUUAAGCCGGUGUAAUUUGUUGCCAAUGGUGCUGCGACACGUGGCUCUUGAAAAGAAACAUAUGGAUAAUAAGAACUGAAUUAUUCGUUGGCCUAAAUCUGGAAAAGUCCGGUGAUUAAAAUUCGACUUCCACCCUUUCUCACUCCCUCAUUUCGUAAAAAUAAGCCCAUUUUUUAGGGAUUAAAAAAAUAAUUAACAUAAAUAAAUACUAAUAAUUAGUAUAAGUUUAUUUAGUGACAUUGUGAACAAAUAGCAAAAACGGCAUUGCAAUGCAUAAGUGGAAAUUGCAGCCGAUUAAUUCAUAAGAAAUAUAAAAAUAAAACAUUAUACAAAUACGUUGUUUAGAUUUCAGGCCAGUGAAAGGAACAUAUAUAUUUAUAUAGAUUAAUCGCAUUUAAAAAAUUUUCAUGUUUUUACUGAUUUUAUUUAUUAAAAAUUUAUAAUUAUCAUAUUAAAUAUUUUUUAAUUUUUAUAAAUUCAUUGAUUUCCACGUAAAUAUUUUUCUAAAGAAAUUUAAAUAGUGCAUGAAGCAUAACAUAUGGAAAAACAAAUUCUUUUGAAACGGUCCAUUAAGCUGACCCAACCCAAGUCAUUAUUCGGUUUAGAAAUAAUAAAACGGCAAUAUGUGGGCCAUUUGCAUAUUAAAUGGACCCAGGCCCAUGCUUGUAUCACCAACAUGGAUGAGAAUCUCAUGCAAUAACUCCCUUUAGAUUGGACUUCUCUGCCUUUUACUUGACAAUUUUUUAAUUACGUAGUAUGAUUUGCAAAAAAAAUGAACUAAUUUGCACAGAAGCUGCAAUUACACAGUUAUAAUUUCAAAUUAUAUGGUAAAAAUAAAAGGUUAAAUAGUGAGUAUCUGCGACCUUUUGCGCAUAGGCAUCAACUUCAGCCAUCUCGACUAGGCAUAAUCUACUUAGCUACUUUAAAUUAUAUGCGUGUAAAAAUCACAUGUUUCACCUAUUGAAAAUGAGCUAAUCAAAGCUUAUGCUACUAAACAGAUAAAUGAAUUGUUAUGCACUCUUUAGUCUUUAGAUUGUCUAAAAACCAGCAUAUUUAUCAUACAAAUGGCCUCCUGUCCCUUCAAAUAUGUAGUGACUUGCCACGCAAAACAUAUUAGCACAUCCCAUACAAGCAAAGCGACGAGCAAGAUGGUGCUGAAAUUGUUGAGAUAACUCUGUCAUCUAUUGUUAAAAAUGUCAAUGACUUGUCCAUUAAUUAAGAGGAACCAUAACAAAUUCCUGAAACCAAACCAAAUUAAUCCUGAUUAGACAAAAUUAAUUACUGUGGAACUAAAUUGCAAACAUGGUAGCAGGGUUUAGGUUCAGCUAUUGACAGCUUAAUUGCUAAUCACAAAAAUUGACUAUAAGAAGCUAGACUAAUGUCUUGUCAAACCUGCACAUCCACAGGUUUCUUAUGUCAAAUGUUAAAAGGAGCUAUAUAAAACUGGCAAAUUUUGCUCUCCUAUAUUGUGCAAAAAGAAAUUCAAACGAGACCCAAUAUCAAUUCUUUUACUGUUUUGUCUUUUUUUUUUUUUUUUUUUGUAAUAUAAAAGAAUAUUAGCACUCAAAAUCAAAUAAGACUUGUCUACGUCUGGAUAUGAGUCCAUCGUACAGCAAAUGGAUUAAAUAACAAUAUUUGGAUAAACUAUAAGCAAGUCUUUUCUUAAUUAUAGAUGUAAAUUUUAUUUUGGGAAUUUCAUAUGAUACAUAUUACGUAUGUUGUUGAUGAAGAUGUAAAUGUAGAAUGGAUGAUUAGAAGGUGAAUCAUGCAAAUUUGUUUAUGUACAUUAGGUCAAUAUGUGUGUAUAUAUAUACACAUAUCUACAAUUCAAUUUUUGAGUACCUUGUCAUUAGUGUGAUUCUUAAAUGAUUAUUACAUCACAAUAUUAGUGCAUUCAUCAUUUUUUAAAAGAUUUUCUAAAUCAUUUUGCAGGAUUUACCAUUGAUAUUCAAAAAUGGCAAAAAGAUUUUGUUCUAUUGGGUUUUCGCCUGAAGGAAUGGUAAUUCUGUUGGGAAUUAUUUUUUAUGGUUUUGGAGUUUCGGAGGGCAACUUAAUCCCUGGAAAGAAAAUUUUGGAAGCUAGAAAGAGAAUAGACAGUCUCAAAAGCCUUGCAGUAAAGACCAUUCAGGUAAAAUUUUCUGCUGUUUUCUCAUAUGAAAUAGUCUUGCAAGUUGUAAAGGGUAACAUAUUUAGCAACAAAUAAAAUUUGUUCUUGCAGAGUGAAGACGGUGACAUUAUUGACUGUAUUGAUAUCUAUAAACAGCCAGCUUUCAAUCAUCCUGCUUUGAAGAAUCACACAAUCCAGGUCAUAAUUUUCUUUUUGUCUCAAAAAAAUUAUAUAUCCAGACUCGGUUUCUAUUUCAACACUUACAUUGUUGGUUUUUGUUCAGAUGGAACCCAGUUAUGAUCCAACUAUGGAGCCAACAACAACAGCAAGAAAAAGCACAUUUGAGAAAAAGAAUAAAGACUCACCUUUGAUUGUGACAUCACAACUAUGGCAGAAAAAUGGUAGCUGUCCUCCCGGAACAAUUCCGGUUCGUCGAAUUCAGGAAAAAGAACUGCUUAAAGCAGAUUCAAUUCAAGAUUUUGGAAGGAAGAAGCCUAGCUUUCAACCAACCCCAGACCUCAGAGAGACAAAUCGCUCGGUAGUAUUACGUUUUGCGUUAAUCUUUUUUAAUUAUGCUAUGACAGAGGUUUAAACUUGUAAGCUGACAGUUACGUGACAUUUUUAGCGCUGUUAUAUUCUAUUCUUGAUGGAAAGGACUAAGGAGUGGCUAAUCUUUGGUUUUGUGAAUCAGAUGUCAAUACUUCUGACAGAAGGUUUCAGUUACUCGGGAGUAAAAGGAGAUAUCAAAGUUUGGAAUCCUUUUGUUGAAUCUGAUGAUGAGUAUAGUAUUUCUCAGGUUAGCCUGAAAAGUGGACCUUGGUACAGUUUUGAAAGUCUUCAAUCUGGAUGGGCAGUAAGCACAAAUUCUUCUUGAAUUGAAACUGUAAAAUGCUUAAUAACCAUGCAAUUUUUCUUUUAGAACUGAAAAUUCUAUUGAAACUUUCAGGUGAAUCCAAGUGUUUAUGGGGACAGAAAAACUCGAUUAUUUGUAUAUUGGACUGUAAGCAAAAGCCAUUAUUAUAAGAAAUUUUCUUAUUAAAAUAUGGUUAUAAAUAGCUAAUGAGAAAUGUUUAUUCUUUAGGUUGAUGCAUAUAAGACAACAGGUUGCUUUGAUCUCACCUGCCCAGGUUUUGUUCAAACGAGUAAUGAAGUUGCUCUUGGUGCAGCAAUUUAUCCUAUAUCAGUUCCAUUUGGGCUACCAUCUCAAAUAACCAUUUACAUCUUUAGGGUAAUAAACUCGCACUAGAUAGCUUUUCUCUCAUCAUAAACUCAAACCAUUUCUUAGUUUCCUUUUUGUAAUUUUUGUUUUAUGUUUGAUUUUAGGAUACAAGCACAAACAACUGGUGGGUGCAAUAUGGAGAGAAAAUAAACUUAGGUUACUGGCCAGCUGAGUUAUUUGGUUUAUUACAUAGUAAUGCACAUGGAGCUGAAUGGGGAGGUGAAGUUUACAGCUUGAAAUUAGGGCAUCCACCACAUACUAAGACAGCAAUGGGCAAUGGACAGUUUCCUGAUGGUGUAUUUGGCAAUUCAGGAGCUGUUAGAAGAUUACGAGUUCGUGAAAAUUCUAUCUUUUUAAAAUUUCCAGAAUGGGUUUCGACUUACCAAGAUGAGUACGACUGUUAUCGAACAUAUUAUCAGGCAGAUUACAUGGAUGAACCUGAGUUCUAUUUUGGAGGGCCUGGCCAAAAUCCUGUAUGCCCUUAGAGCUUAAAUAUAUUAGCUAGAACACGGUCACUCUGACCUACAUAGUUGCAUCAAUUAACACUGAAAUUUUCUAAUUUCUUGGAUUGAUUAGCUUGAUUUAUAUAUUUUCAGAUUACAAAUUUCAGUAAUUCGCUCAAUAUUUUUCACAUCUGACAAAAUGCACCUUCUGAUUAAUAUUUAAGAGAAGAAAUUUAAAGAAAAAGAAGAAAUCAGUGCAAAAUUUGUCAUGAAACAGAGCAAUUAUUUGUGUUUAACUGCAAAAUAUAUCCCAUGCAAUGACACCUCUAUAACAUUGAUUUCACGUCGUAUACAAAAUACUAUGAAAGCCAACAUAUUCAUGUUACAUUGGUUUGCUGUAUUUCUUCCACCUUGGUAUCUACAUAUGAAUAGCCUAUAAUCAGUUCAUCCAAAAAGAGGAUAAAUAACAUUGCAAAAUAUCAUGCCCUAAUAAAGUACAUGAGAAUAUGACAAAGCACACCAUAUGUAAGUUAGAAGAAUCUCAUAUUAGACCAAUCUCACAUAAGCUAAAUAGAGUUUUUAUGUUUUCUUUCUGCCUGUAUAGAUUUGAAAAUUCGUGCUGCUGAUUCAGUAGCAGAUCUUGGGUUGUGAGGCACGACUUUGAUCACUCUUGUCGGCAUGUCAGUCUCUUGAGGCUGAGAGGCUCCUUCUGGUGUAGCAGGAGCUACUGGGAACAGCAGCAGUGCAUCUCUUCCUUCAGCAGCCUCAACAGUCCCAACUCCUUGCACUCUCUCCCCAGGGCUACUAGCUGUACUUCCCCGUAGUUCAGUGUCUUUAGAUGCCCGGAACUUUGGAACUUGUGGAACGGAUCCGCUCUUCUGAUUCGGCAAAUUACAUGAGCUUUGAUGUUGCACGUUAAAGUUUGCUCCCCCUCCUGAAACCUGACCAGUUUGACCAGUUGAACCAGCCCCUGCAAAGUAGUUCAUUUGUUCCACUGCUGAACCUGACAUGGCUGGAUGCAUAACUGGCAUGCCAUAUGGAGGGAAAUAACCAUGAACACCAGGUAUGAAGCCAGUUCCUUGAUGGUGAUGAGAAGAAGGUGGAAUCCCAUAGGUUGGAUUAAUAAAGUUACCGACCAUGGGAGAUGCGCCAAAAGGUCCGCAUCCUCCACAGGCUGAUCCCAAGAAUCCUGGUGCAUUGUAUGGCUUGUAUACAAGUCCUUCUGAAGGCGACAUUACAGGAACUAGCCACUGAUGUCCAAGUGAAUGUUGGAAACACCAAGGACUCAUUUUGGAAUCAGUAGGUACAGGAACAGGUGGGGGAUUCCCUAAAUAAGAACCAUUAUUAGAAGGUUGACUACCAUUUUUCGCAGAAGAAAAUGAUGUCUUCCCAAUUGCAUUCUCUGCAGAACAUUCCAUCUUAUGGUUUGGUUUCUCGGGAUAAUCUUUGCGCUUAGCAACAUGAACUGGAGGCGAGACCACAAAUUCUGGUGGAAGUUUCUUUGCCGGAGAAACCUUUGUAGGAGGUGUCCCGAGGUAAGUACCAUCUUCAAGUAAAAGAUCUGGCGAUGCAGCUAUCAGACGCUGAACCUGCAUAAAAGCAAAAUAUUUAAGAUAUUCCCUUUUUCAUCAACCAUACAUAUAUUGACAAAUAUUUUUAGUCAAUCUGAUUCUGGGAGAAGAAUCUAUUUUAACAGUUACAAGGAUAUCUUACCUUAAUCAGUCUAUGCAACUCAAACACUUGAACAGCAAACAACCUUUGUUGACUGUAGAGAGUAACAAGAGUUGGAUCAAGAACAUUAACCACGCAAGUUUGGGAAAUGAAUCUAUAGUAAGCAAACAGAUGGAGCUAGAGAAUCAGCUAAAUAUUAGUUCAUAAUCUGGCACAGCAUAGAAUAAUUCUUAAAAGACCUACACAACCAAAUUUAGGACUAGAGCAUGGUUACAUCAGUUGAACUGAAAAUAUGUAAAUUUCAUUACAUGUGCUGAUGCUCACUCUAUGUGAAGCCUUUCAGACACUGUGCAGAUCCAUGAGAAAUCUAUUAUUAAAUUCAUUUUACAUGCAAGAUUGUGUAUGAACAAAUUCGUGAUAUACAUUACAAAGCUUUGGCAAGCAUUUUGUAGUGCAAAAUCAGUCAUAGAAAUAUAGAUGUAAAAGCUUCUAGCAUUGAUGAAUCAUAAGUACACCUUGGCAGUAAUUUUCUAUGAGAGUGAAAACAUGCAGAGAACAUUCUGCAUGCCAAAAACUUACUUCAAUACAAAAAAAAAUCAGGCAGGAAGCAGAAAAGGCAAGGCUUUGCAGUUACAACAUGUACAUACUAUACAACUCUUUAUUUAAUUAGAUAAUUACUAAUUUAAUUAACAAAAAUUGAAAACAUUUACAUGUGCAAGCUGUACACAGAAAAUCACAAGAUAAAGAGUGGGUACAAACAAUAUGAAUCCUAGCCCCAAAUUCCAACUUAGAACACCAAGAGACUGACUAUAGGUUUGGCACCAUGUCCACUACCCAUUGACUGUCAAUUACUCUCCAGUUUCCCUAUUCCAUAAUGACCAAUCAACAGAUACCAGAACCAUCCUCCAACACUUUGCUGCCGCUCCAAGCCCUCGAGUGUCACAGAUGGGAAAAAUCUUCAACAGUGCAGGGAAAAUAAAGCAAAACCAACCGAGACAGGAAUAUCUUCAAGAAGAUAGUAAAAAGCAAUGCAUGACGUGAUGAUAAACUGUCUCGGAGGCAACUUGAACACAGUACCUAAAUUAGUACUGUCCAUCUCCCUGCUGUAAGAUGAUCCACCAUUUGCCAUCGAGGGCAUUUAGACAAACAAACACGCCAGAUUGGAUGCAUCCCUGGAACUCCACACUAUCGAAUUCUCCCUUGCCCAUAGCCAUGCAUACAACUCUCCAUUCCAAAACAGACAAUCAUUCCAUUUUCCUGAAGUUAGCAUUCCACAUGGCAUUUCAACAAUCUAAUUUAGUUGUUCAAUUAUGAAGAAAACUAAUCCCAAUAACAAUAAAAUGUAGAAGCUUCCUUGAUGAAACUUUAUCAAGUAUCCUUUUCAGGGUAAAAAAAAUUCCAGUUUUGCAGAUCCAAUACGAAAAAUAAGGUAGACAAUCAAAGCUCAUAUAUAUGAAACUUAGAGUCACAAAUAGUAAUUACAUGUUGGCCAAGCCCCAGAACAGAAAUGAAUUGUACAAAUAAAUAUGAUAAAAUCAGAAUGGAAGCACUAUCACAAAACCCUCACAACUGUUUAUAAGAUGAAAAUUGUUCAGAGAGAGAGAGAGAGAGAGAGAGAGGGAGUAGUACAACAAUAACAAAAAUAUGGAACAGGAAAAAAAAGGACUAGCAUCAAAUCAAUCUGAGCAAAAUUUAUAAUGCAAAUAACAUCUUGUUUUCUUCUAACAAUUUUGAUUUUCAGUCCACAUCCACCAUUAAGAUUGGAGAUACUCAAAGCAAAAGGCUCGAAAAAAAAUGAAUGUAUAUAGGUUGAUUUCCUAUGUUAUUCCCAAUUCUUUUUUAUUUUCUUUCCUUUUUUUUUUUUUUUUUUCCUUUUUUUUUUUUUUUCAUAAGCAUGCAAAUAUAAAUCAGAACAGAGACUAGACAGCACAAAUGAGCGUUAAGAAGAAAAAGAUCAAAAGAAUGUCUUUCAUUUAUGGAAGUGAACAAUGAGUUACUACAAUUAGAAAAAUAUAAUAUUUUGUACCAUCAUACUCUUUAAAUUCAUCAAGAUGCAAGGGUAUUGGUGGUUAUCAAAAAAGCAAUAAUAACUUACUUGACAAUUGCCCUUCUUGCUUUCCAGAAAUGUUUCUGACCAAUUAUUCCUACAACUUCAUCAGGCGAAAUAUCCAAUGCUGAUAUAGAAUCCACCAUGGAGGUCUCAGAGACAUCAUCACUUUUAUCUCCAUUUCCAAAUUGUAAUGACCUACACGUCUUCUCUCCACUUAAUUCACAGUCAAUUUCAGGUUUGUUGGGACUACUACAAUCUUCCCUUGAGAGAGAGUCACUUCUUGGACAGAAAAUAUUUCCUUUUUCUAUUUCUCUUGUCAGCUCAGGAACACCUUCACCAUUUCCACUGUUAUCUUGCUGCAAAAAAGCUGUAGACUCUUGUUGCAAAAAAUCAUCAUUUUCACAAAAUCUGCUAAAAUUAGCUCCAGGGAGAUCUGGAUUUUGUUGAUUUUGAUAUGCAUCCCCAAGGCUAGCUAUCUUUUUUCUAGUCGCAAACUUUGUGGAAGAUCUAACUGAAUGAUCCCUACUUGAGACACAAACCUCUAGUUUCUCCUCACUUUGGUUUCUUGUAUCCAGUCUCAAAUUGGGAACUCUGGAGCUAUAAUUUUUUUUGUCACUAUCACCAGCAUCUUUUACUUUCACUGAAUGACUUAAAUAAUUUUGGCUGAAGGGAGUGGGUUUUCCCCCAUCAAUACCAUUCUGAGAUUUAGGAAGACAUCCACCCAUCCCAGAUUGAACAAAUACAGGUACUCUGAAAUCGUCUUCAUAUCCUACCUUCUUUCUCUGCUCAAGUUGGGGUGAUGAAGCAUUCAAGUUGCCUCCAGAUGAGUGAGAAUGAAGAUUCUCAACCAGAUGAGAUGAUGUAGGAGGAACAUGAUUUGGGAACUGCAAACUCCUUUCAAAGCCACUCCCCUGCAUAUAAGUUGGCUACAAAGAUCAGAAAUAACAAACCACCAUCCCCAUUGACACAGGCACAUAAGCAGGCAAGGAGCGUUUGUGUAUGCCAGCACAGACACACACACCCCAAAGAAGAAGCAAAUAUCGACCAGAAUACACAAAAAUAGUUGCGAUCCCAAUUUCGCAAAAGCAGAAAUUGAGACAGCAAAAAUAAUCAAUUCCAUUAUGCUAUAAAAAUAAAUAGUCUAGCUAUUCCUUUUUACACGACCAAAAUAGUGGUCUAUUGUUCGUGUCUAGAAACUUAGUCGAACAACCCAUAAAAUUAACACAAUAAGUUAUAGAGCAAUGACUGAUUAUAAAUAUCAUACAACAAAAUAGUAUCAAAUUCAACAGCUACCUGGCUUGAGGAUGCUGCAGGAAUCAAGUUGCUAGCUUUACUUGGGUUAAGAGGCAAAACAGCAUGAUUAAACCUCUGAGAAGGAAUACUAAGCUGCUCAUAAAGGGCCAUCUUGUUCCUUGGAGGAGCUCUUGGCCCUCCUUUCUCCGUGUCAUUCACAUGAAGCCUAGGGAACAUAGGCCCCAUUAUCUUUUCAUCAUCCUUUCCUCUCUUCAUCUCCUCUAUUCGUCUUUCAAGCUCAAGACAAACCCAAAACCAGAAGACUCAUUUUCUCAUUUAGCACACCAGACGAACCCAUGAUCCCACCUCCAAAACAGAAAAUCCGAACCACAAAAGUGAUAAUUUUGAAACUCAAAUACCUUCAGCUGCUAUUCCUCAAGAAACUGAUCAAUUCCUCAAGAACAGAGAAGAAUUUAGACCUCAAAAUCCAAAUUCAUCAAAUCACAAAACGAAAACCGACUCCAACUUUCAGCAAUGUAGCUAAAUCCUCAAAGUACCCAAAAGCCCAAUCCUCGAGAAUAUCAGAAAAGCCCAGAAGUUCUAAGUCAAUUCCCUUUAGACAAAUAGUGCUUUUGAAGCUGAAAUUGGUGAGAGAAAGAAGAAGGAAUACCUAAUUGAGUGGUAAAAGUAGAUAGAAAUAUAAGAGAAGGACAAAAGAUCUGCAGAGAAAACCCGCACAGAAAAGUAGUACAAGUCUAAAUGGUAAAUGGGGCAAUUUUUAGGGAUUUCGAAUAACACAAAGAAGAAGAAGAAGAUCAUCGGCUUCCUGAAAAGGAUAAAGGUAGAAAAGUGCUCCUUUGUGGGCCCUUUUGGAUUGAACCAGAAGCGCUCUUUUGUGAUUUAUGAAUUGUUAGCUCUGAUCUGGCACUUAUCGCCAAUUGGCUUGGCGAUUUUAUUUUAUUACUAAUAGUUUUUAGUGAUUAAUUAAUCGCUAGAUUUCAUUAUCAAUAAUUAUUAAUAAAAAAUUACUGAAAUGGAUUAGGCUGGUCCCUUGACCGUACCAUUGUCCAAACUUUGGCGAACGGUAGACACGGGCCAGUAACUUUAUGGAAGACAGGGUUUGGUUUUAGAUAGACUGACAGCAGCGUUUUUGCUCCGAAAGCCCAAUAUGUUCAAUAAAAAGAAAAUUCCCAAAAAAAAAAAAAAAAUUCGACAGUCUGUUAAAAAAAAAAGAAUAAUAUAAGUACCUCAUAAUAUUUCUGUGAUAGAGAAAGUAUACAAAUAUAUAAUGGGAACGAUCACAAGGGAAUGAAAUUAAGUUUUCCGGUAAAGAUUAAGAUUUUUUUUAAUUUAAUUCACUCUCAAUGGGAAAUUCAAUGAGGUAAUGUAGACUAUUGCUUGACGCUAGGAAUAGGAUUAGGAUGAUGGUUUCCUUGUUGGAUUUAAAUUAAAACCUUUUGGCCCACAUAAUCCCAGCAAUAUUCUCCCUUUCAACCAUAUAAGUGGUUUGGUUAAUUGGUUUGGAAUUGACACGUGCCGGUAGUAGAUAUAUUGAUUUUGGAGUUUCCACUUUUGAAUGGCUGACAGCUCGAAGAGCAAUAUCCUUCAAAAAGUGAAAAGAGAGAAGAAUUUUUGUAGAAAUGGAUUCGGUCAUAGCAGAAAGGUUAAAGAUUAGAGGUUUAAUUAGUAUUAAAACCUUGAUCUGAAGUUAUAAAAAUUGAAACUAUAAUUUACAUUCAUAUAACGAAUUAAAAAUUUUAAAUUUGAAUCUCGUCAUUUUUGUCUCUUUGAUCUCUAAAUAAAUAAAAAAUAAUUUCACUGAAAUUUAAAAUUUUCAUUUAAUUUGAAAAAAAAGGAUGAUUAGUUAGAAUCAAUUAAUAAAGUUCAAAAAGUUAUUGGACACAAAAAUCAUGAGAAAAAUGAUUUUUUUUUUAAGAAUAAGAAAAUUGAUUUUUUAAUUACCAAAAUGACGUAAUUUUGGUUUUUUUUUUAUUAGAAAAAUAUAAACCCGUUUGGAUUAGCUAAACCAUGCACGGACCGUCGGAUUAGUGAUUGAACUUGGCUAGAUGGGUUGGUUUUUAACGGAUUUGAGUUGAAAUGAAUUCUAGGAAAAUAGUAGUAAUUCUCGAUUUUAUUGGUUGAAUUGAAUCAAUCAAAUCGGUCCGAACACUAUGCCAUGAACCAAAUGUCCACUGAGUCUCAAACGGUGAGUCGAAGACAACUGGCGUUCCCACAGAAACGACAAGCUGUCUGAUAGAACAAGUCCAUUCGGCCAUCUCCCCAUCCUCCCAUAAUCAUAAACAGGCCCAUCUCCUUCGUUUCUUUUCCUUUUCGUUUUUUUUUUUUUUUUUUUUUUGAAUAAUUAAUCCUUACAAAAAACCAAAACCUAAUAAUUCAAACGCGAAGCCAGGUUCGAGGGAAGAAGAAAAGCAAAGUUGGAGAAAGCUUUUGAUGGUUCGAUCACAUGGCUUCGUCGUCUUCUUCUUCUCCUCCUCAUCAGACACACAUUCCUCUCCCUUCAGACCCUGGUAUCUCAUAUUUCUUGCUUCUUUUUUUAAUUUACUGUUUAUUUAGCACAUUUAAUCUCUGGUUUUUGUAAUUGCCUUCAUCCUCAUUCGAUGAUUUAAUGUUUUCUUUUUCCUUUUUUUUUUUUUUUUGUCUCUGCUUAUUUAUUAUUACACAGAAUUGGUAUCGAUGCUUCUGCCUUCAAAUUUCUUAGCUUAGUUUGUAUGAUUAGCUGGAAAAUGUGAAUAAAUUCACUUAUGGCACCAUCAGAAAUUGAAAAAGACUACGUUAAUUUCUUAUGUAUGAAUUGUAAUGAAGAGGUUUUGGUUUUUGAAUUCGAAAAAUUGACACUAAGAGGUAUGCGUUUGUCUGUGUAAUGUCAUAUAGGUGGUAAAACUUUAGAACACGAAGCUCAAUUAUCACUGGUUCCUGUCCAUGUUGUUACUGAGGCUUCUCAACUCCCAGCUGAGUUCCUUAACCCUUCACCUGAGAAGCAAUUGAUCAUCGGGUUUGACUGUGAGGGUGUUGACCUGUGUCGACAUGGGACCCUUUGUAUUAUGCAGGUACAAGCUUUAUUUCUAUUGCCUUCUGUAUGGUUUGUUUGACUCGGAAUUCAAAUUCUUGAAUAUGGUGUGCUAUUCUAUCUUUUGAUGUGGAGUUUAGUUCGUUCUAUCAAGUAAUGCAAUUGAACUGACAUUUCUUGUGAGAUUCUACCUUUGACACUAACAAAAUUUGUCUUUGGCAGCUUGCAUUUCCAAAUGCUAUAUUUUUGGUUGAUGCCAUUCAGGGUGGAGAGGUGCUUAUUAAAGCAUGUAAGCCUGCACUUGAAUCUAGUUACAUCACAAAAGUUAUUCAUGAUUGCAAGCGAGAUAGUGAGGUCUCUACUUUGCAUUUUUUUGGUUUGAUAUGUUCUUUAUGAUCUGUUAUCAUAUCAUAUUUGACACCAAUGUCUUUUUGUAGGCAUUGUACUUUCAGUUUGGCAUCAAAUUGCACAAUGUUUUUGACACUCAGGUAAGUGGUUUGCCGGAACUUAUUGGCAGAACCAGUAUCUAGUUUCUUCUAAAAUUGUUUUAGAUUUGUUUUUUCACAUUCAAUCCUCAAAUGUUGGGCUGGGCAAUGGUUUAGGUUUUUAUUGUUAAUUUAUUUAGUUUGCCUUUGGAAGUGGCUUACUUGUUAGGGAUCAGAGUCAAUAUAGCAUGCAAGUUUCCCCUAUUACAGCCUUCAACCUUUUGGGCAGUUCAGUAUUUUAUAUUUUUUCUUUUAAACUGCUCCAUAUCCCCACUUGAUCACCAUUCAGGUGGAAUCCACCUCUUUUUUCUUUUUGUAGGUGGGAACAUUAUUCAUCAUCUUCUUUCACUUUCAUUUUUCUUCGCUGCUGUGGUUUUGCUUCUCUUUUUCUGGCUGGAUUAAUCCUCUUAUCAACACAGAAUGUGUUAAUUGUGGACCUCGUGGUUAUUGUUGGAUGAAUUUCAUGUUUCUGGGAGCUUGAGGAUGAGUUCUUAGAAAUGGAAGUAGAUUGACAUAAGAAUACUUAUGUUUAAUUUUUGCCUUUGAUUUGAUCAAUUUUUUUAUGUAUGACUAGCUUUGGAAUAUUAUUCUAUCUAAAAAUUGCUUUUAGCAAAGGCCGGCUUACAAUUCAUUGUAGCUAAAUCACCUUUCCAUGUCGUUGUCUAUAUAAUAAUUAUUCUAUAGAAAAUAAUGCAGAUUGUAAUUGCUUAUAUUAGUAAUGACUGUUAUUGUUGAAAGCUGUCAUUUGAUGUGUAUGUGUAUUUUUCUUUCUGUUUGCUUGUAGAUUGCCUACUCUUUGUUAGAGGAGCAAGAAGGACGGACUAGAGUGACAGUUGACUAUAUAUCUUUUGUUGGUCUCCUUGCAGAUCCACGCUAUUGUGGUAUUUUAUAUGCCGUGGUAUCCAUUUUGAUUUAUUUGUUUCAUGACACAGCUUUAUGUUAGUUUCCCCAAAUAUUCCAGAUGAAUAUAUACUCAUUGAAAGUCUUUGGUAAAUAUUUACUAAAUUUUCUUGAUGUCAUACAAGUAGUUGUUUGAUUUAUAUUGUUUGUUAAUGGCAUGUCCUCUAAUAUUGAUCACUCGCUUCAGUCCUCAUCUGUAUGAAAAGAGAUGUAGGGGAAAGAGGUUUAAAAAAAUAGAUACAAGGAAUUUGGAAUUUUUCUACAAUGCAUUUAUAAUUGAAUUGGGAGAUUUGUGGAUCAAAACUCUUCUUGAUUGAUUAGUGUCUAUUCUGAAGAGAUCAUUUUCUUUUAUGAUCUAUGUUAAUAAAUCUUCCCUUUUCCUGAGUAUGGCAAGGAGGUAUUGUAGCCCCAGGAUAGAUUCAUACUAUGGGUUUUAUUUUCUGUCCAUUAGUUUCACUUCUCCCACGUGUCCUAGGAGGGAUCUUAUUUAAUUAAAAUGAGAUUGAUAAUGGUUGUUUACAUUCUGCAUAGACUUCUACGUUGACUGUUCUACCAUGUCUUUUUCCUUUCAUUUAUUUUUUUUUCCAUUUAAUUUAAUUUAGUGAGAGCUACUCAGCUCUUGACAGCAAUGACUUCCUUAUUGUUCUCUUUUCUGAAACAAGAAAAAAAAAAUUGUAUGCUGGGGGUUCUUAAACUCAGCUCUUAAACUCCCUGCUUUGAAACAGAAAUAGGCUAUUACAAACUAUUGAAUUUUGAUUUGCGCAUAGCAUUCACCAUAUUGCUUGGAUUUAUACCUUGGGUAUUUGAAUGCAGGCAUUUCAUAUUUGGAGAAGGAAGAGGUCCGUAUUCUCCUUAGACAGGUUAGUCUAAACAUCUCAUUAAAUUUGUGGAGUUCUUGCAUUUUACGUCAAUUUUAUCCUUUGGUGAAGGGAAGUUUUUCUUGAUUUGCUGAUCUUAAUUUUAUAGAACUGUUUGAGCCAUGCUUUCUUAGUGGCAAUUUGCUUUAGAGCUUAGAAAAGUUAGCAUAUAAUGGCGACUAGCUUGGAACACUUGUCACCCUUUUAGAAUCUUUCUUCUUUUAAAUGCGGUACUGCUCUUGAGUUUGAACUGCUAUCAAUGCCAUAAUUCAGGAUUUUGAUGAUGAUAUGGUAUUAGCAUUUAGGCAGAGUGAAAUUGUCACUUUUUUAGUCAUAUAGAAGAAAUUUCUGAGUCCCCUGCCAUGUUGGAUCCCAUAAGGCAUAGACAAGGUGAUAUAAAUGAGAUGGCCUAACAAUCUAAAUGAAAGCAUUUUCCAAGUAAUUUUGUUAUUAUGCAUAUCAACUAUCAUUAGCUCUUCAUUCUAAUUAUUUAACUAGGGAGUGUACUAUGUGUUUUCUAGAGAUUUAGAUGUGUAGCUUCUGUUGACUUAUGUUGCUUUGACAUUGCACUGUAACAUUGUAGCUUGGUAUUUCUGACAUAUGCCAUGUCUUGUGCACUAUUUUCAGGACCCUAACUUCUGGACAUACAGACCAUUAUCUGAAUUGAUGAUCCGUGCAGCUACGGAUGAUGUUCGCUUUCUUCUCUAUAUCUAUCAUAAUAUGAUGGAGAAACUAAACCAAAGAUCAUUGUGGUAUCUAGCAGUUCGUAGUGCAUUGUACUGCCGAUGUUUUUGCAUCAAUGCAAAUGAUUAUGCUGAUUGGCCUCCUGUCCCUCCUAUUCCAGGUUCUAUAUUUUACCUGGAUCUACAAUUGUAUUUGCAGUCAAUGCAUUCUUCUCUAGCAACAUUGACCUCAGGCUUGGAACUUUCUUAUUGAGUAAUGCAUAAAUGUUUCACUAAAAUUUUUUGAUCUGGACAUUUUUUUUCUGUGUAGAUAACCUUGUAGGCAUGGGUAAUGAUCCUGAGGAGGAAAUCCUUUCAAUUCUUGAUGUUCCCCCUGGAAAGAUGGGACGUGUCAUUGGAAGAAGAGGGGCCUCCAUUUUGUCAAUAAAGGAAUCUUGCAAGUAUGUCCCUUCUAUCUGCCUCACAGUCACGUUCAUGUCUUUUUGUUUUGUAACCAGUAAUUUGGUCAAUCUCCUUCUUUACAUCAAGAUCAUAUUUUUGCAGUGCCGAAAUUUUCAUUGGAGGUUCAAAGGGUCCUCCCGACAAGGUAAACUAUCAAUCUAUGAAAAUUUCUGAUGCCUAGCUGCCAUGCGACCUACCUGCACAAAUUUGACAUGGAAUUGAUUAUAUUAUCAUGCUCUUGCAAUUCAGUUUGUUACUAUCACAAAAUUUGGGAGAAACAAAAAGUUCGUUAAAUCUAAUAUUAUCCAGCUCUAACAAAUUACUUGAAUUGUUAGAUUCCUAGAUCCAGGAGUUGUACAAGUGCUUGAAUUUAGUUGUAGUUUGGGAUUUCUAUAAACUCCAGUGCAUGACAUAGGUAAUUUUCUUGUAGGUAUUCAUAAUCGGACCAGUGAAACAGGUGAGGAAAGCAGAGGCCAUGUUGAGGGGGAGGAUGCUGGAACUAUAUUAGGGAACAUUGUUUGUCAUGCAUCCCUUCAACAGAUAACAAAUUCCAAUCCAUAGAAUUUGUGUUUAAAUUUCCCAAAUCAUUGCCUGUCUAUCUAAUUUACUAUGAUCUAUCAUUUACCCGUUUAAAUAGAUGCUGGUUUCAUACAGUUAUUAAACAUCAUAUUGCUGUUUGAGAUAGGCUUAGAUGAAGAGAAUUUGAGAAGCUAAACUGUUAGUUGCAAAACCCUAAGCCUGUCAUGGGUUGCUUUCUUCAAGAUGUGAUGAUGAUUGGCUCAGGGUAGAACUGGUUAAAUCCAGCUUUUACUUGUACUAAUAUGCAUUGCGGGCUCACGGUGGGUUCAGCCAGACGGUUGGUUGCUUCCACAUUUCAUUAUAAGAAAUGUGAAUCAUCUCUAGAUUUAAAUUCCAUUGCAGUUACUUUCAUGCUUUUGAUGGUGUUAAAGUGAUGAUGUAACUAACCAUGUAUCCAGAGUUGAAUUUAGAGAUCAGGCAAAGCUUCUCUUAGAACUUCCUUUCAAAUGGUAUGCAAGGACCGGCAAAACAAUGCCGAACUAUCAGAUUUCUUUUUCCAAGACAUACAAGCCAUGAAGCUAAAUAGGAAGUGGCAAUAGAUAAUAACAAUAUCUCAUUACAUAAAUAGCCCAAUUUUCAAUCACGAGUAACAGUGCAUAUCCAUCACCUAACUUGUUUGAUGCAGAUUUCUCACGUCCAUAAGAACAUAAAAGUACUGAUCUAAUUUCUCAAACAAUGCCUUAAAAAAAAACCAUCGACUUUACAAAGGACAUUAGUACGAAUGUACGAUAUUGAAUGAAAUGAACAUAAGCAGUUCCGUAAACUGAUCCACUCAUGAUAGAUACAUAAUCAAAUCAUUGUAAAGUAGUUUUGAUGCAUGAGCAAGAUUUAUAGCACACCAAUAUGCUCAUCGCUUAAAAUUAUCUUUACCACACGGCCAAAAGAAUAUUGAGAAGAUAAAUGAAGGGCAAAAUGCCAAAUAGAAAACCAAAAUUUACUUCUUAAAACUACCAAAUUGGUGUUGUUGGUUGCCAAGGCUCGAGAAGAAGUCUGCACCAUCCAUAGCCGGUGACUGUGAAGUAAAACCAGAUCUACCGAGACCAGACCCAGUGCCCAUAGCUCUUCCCAUAUAAAAUGAAGUUGGUGGUCCCUUUUCCCUUUCAUCUUGUCCUUCGCUUAGACCACCCACAACACCAAUAUCCACUAGAGAUACUUUCUUAGCUGCAAGUUAAUUGAAAUGGCAAGACAGUUACAAACUUCAAACUAAACAAAUGUUAAGUGCAAAUGCAUGUUGAAGGAUAGGUCUAACAAUAAGAAUGCUAAAAACAAGUUGGUUAUCAUGCAUGGUAGAUUUUAGAUGUUUAGCAGAAAAAAUUUCAUAUCUUAACUCCACAUAUUCACACAUCCAAUAACAUAUUCUGAUAGAUACUAUAACAAAGAAAGAUAUACUUACGUGCAGAUAUAUUAAGAUCAAUCAGUCCACGACUUAGUGAAUCUGCCCAUAUUCCAGACUUAACCUGGAAAGUGUCUUUCUUUGGUGGAGGCUUUGGGUCCGAAGCCUUCACAAUCAAAUUGUUAAGGCCUCCAUCAUUUAUAGGACUUUGAGUGGGUUCUAUAGAAGCUGAAUUAGAACUAGAGGAGAAUGCACCAAAAAGAUCCGAUCCAUCUAAGUUAUUCAAUGGGACUGCAGCAAAUGGAUCAACAACGCCAUUGUGUGUUGGAUCAGAAUUUUGAGUCUUGGUCUCCGGUUGCAUAACUGGAUCGCCAGUGGAAAAGAAAUCAACUGUUGCAGGAACUACAGGAUGGACAUCAGAUUGUGAAGCAAACAGAUCAACCUGGGUCUGCAGAGAUGGUUAUAAAAAUAUUAGUGAAGAAUACUUUAGCAACUACUGUGAAGGCAUACAUUCUAAAUUCUAUGUGACUGCAAUCAUGCACUGCUAGGAUUACAAACUAACAAUUUAUGUAAUUUAUCAUUCUUGAAAUUCCAAGUCAUUUAUACUAUCCAGGUACAGACAGCAACGAUUGGUACAAAUAUACUUAAAUUUUCAACAACAAAUGGAACAACCAAAAUCAAAGUCUUAACCACAUGGCACCCAAAUUGGAACACAUAACAGCUUCUACACUCAAAAAGUCACAAGAGAGCUAGAUUGGAAACAGGGAUGAGUAGGUAUUGACCUGAGAUUGAGAACUUGCUCCCUUUUCAACUUGGGGUGGUGCUGAUACAAAUGUUGCAUCAGCAAACAGAUCAACAUCUGGUGAAUUGCCACUUAUGGCUGACGUUUCUGUGGGAAUAGAUGUUGGUGCAUCCAUGAGGUCACCGAUCAAACUUUGUCCAAACAGAUCAACUUUGUUAGAAGUUUCAGCAGCAGACUCUGUAAAUCACAACUAUAUGGUAAGAAAUGUUUUGGCAAGCAUUGCAUCCAUAUGAAUUGCAAGCACCGAGCAAGUAUACUAAAAACAAGACAUGAACAUUAUUGUUACAUGUAAGUACAAGUUCAAAUACAUUUAAAUACAACUAUAUGUUUGUACAAACAUUUAUAUCCGUUAUUAUAUAUUACACAAUGCAACUGUUAUAUUGAUGCAAAAUAAUAAACUCAGCCUCCAAGGCCGUGCAUUUGAAAUAACUGCUUCACUAUCAAGUAAAAUUUUAUGAAAUGCUCAUGCACUUCAAUCACAUUUUCUUUCUGAUUCAUGAAUGAUAGCAUAAGUAUGAUUAUGAUACUCUUGCUAAAGGGCCUUAAGAGGUGCCCUUUUAGUCUUUCUUUUUGUUCUGGGAUAGUGUUGUUCUUUUAAUACAUUGUCUUCCAAACAAAGUCAAUAAAAAUACACAUCACAAACAUUCUCUUAUAUAAGAUAUUAUCCAGAAUACAUACUAGAGCUGGAAGUUCCCCUGGGAUCAAAAUCAUCAUCAAAGUCAUCGUCAUAAUUACUUGUAGUCGUCCUUGAGAGUUGAGCAGGAACUGAAUUGUUCUUGUUAGUGUCAUUUAACUUAGAGGGUGAUUUUGAUGCAUUGAUUGACAACUUAUUCUGAUCCCUGAUGGAGGAAAGGGAAGAAAUUAGCAACAUAUCUUACGAAUAUAUGAAGAGUGUAUAUAAGUGGUCCAAGUUGUUCGUCUAACCAAAUGAUACUAUGAACAUAAGACUGCAUGAUAUGUAAAAACAUCAUUAGUACAACAGAUAUCCAUCAAAACCUAUCAAGAAGUAUACCAGAGUGUGAUACAAGAAAUAUGCAGCCCACAACCAUCAAGAAUAAUUGGAUUCGUGACAAUAGAGUUGAAGCUCCAUUAUUUUAAAAAUAUUGGCACUUAUCCACCCAUAAUUAUACACAUGGAUGUUUAUGUAACUUGUGAACAUACGUAUACACCAAUAAAAAUCCAAACCUUCCAACACGCGUAGAGCCCUUCUUCAACGUGUUCCCUUGAUCAUCACUCUUACCCGCUUGACGUGACUUUACAUAGAUAUCUUUUUCACUUUUUUCAUCUCCAUAACGAUCUUUAUCUCUAUAAUCAUCUCUAAAACUAUCAUUGUCUCUUGUACUACUUCUACUGUGGAAGCUGCUGCCACUAUAUGAGGCUGAACCUGAUUUGUAAGUUAUUCCAGUAGAUGAAAGACCAAAGUACCUAAAAAGAGCAGCAAACAACAUUUCAGCACCAAAAAUGCUCAAGAGAGACGCAAUUUUGGUUUUUGAAGAGUCCACUUACUUUUCACGAUUUGCGGCAGCUUUAUUUCUGGUUUCUUGUAUUUUUUCCUUAUCAUUCAAGAGGGCCACUAUAGUUUCUGCCUUCUUCCGCACAUUAAGCCCUGAAUCUUUUCCAUUUGGCUCAACAUAUUCAAAACUUGAAAGUGACUUUGCCAACAAAUAAAUAAGAGAAACAAAAGUCAGAGAAACUCAGUUCUUUUCUGAAUGCCACAAAAAUGAGAUAUGCAACCUUAGUUUAGUAAUGAAAAACAGAACUCACUGAAAUCUGGAAUGUGUGUUCUAUUAUGUCAUCAACAGCGCGUUCAGAUCCAUGUGCAAUCAAAUACUCAAUAACAGAUAAUGCCUGACACCAAAGUAUUCCACAUAAUUUGAAUAGAAGCGUUAAAAAGACCAGCAAGGCAACAAGAUUGAGAAUCAUAUGUGAGUUUCUAGUUACAGUAUUGGAAAUUCUGAAGUAGAUAAGCUAAAAAUAUAAAGACUUACCUUAUAGACCAGUCGCCAGUCUUUGCCUGUCUCGCCUAAUCUUACCCACAGAACAUUCAUAACGAUCUGACAUUCGGUGCUAAAAGAUAUUGCAGGACGACGCACAAGAAAAUAAAGUCAAUAUUCCUUCCGUUAAAUCAUUACUAUAAAAAAUAUUCAAAAAAUGCGAAAAGCAAAUUAGAACUUACAAUUUCUUAGUGGCCUGUGCAAUCUCUGCCAAUGCUGUGCCAUGAGGACCCCAAGGAGCAUCAUCAGUUGCAUCCAGCACCUGCAUCAUAAAUGGUAAAAGAUAGAGCAAACCGCCUAUAGAAAAAAAAAAUGCAAAACUCUUUGAUCUAAAAACUGAAACAACAGAUUAGAAAAUGCUGAAAUCACAACUUCGAGUAUAAAAUGAGGUCAAUAAAAUAACUUAACGCCAUUUUUGAACUGAUUCCUAGUAGAUUUCCAUGAGAUCACUACCUUCUUAAUUGAAACAGGAAAUAUAAUUGUACGAUAAAUUUUAAACAAGAAUUUAUAUAUAGCAAACCGAUUUAAUUACCUUCUGUUCGAUCUCAGGAACCUUCAGGACCUUGAGAUUAACCUCUCUCUUUCUGAAAUCAAAAGCAAAAACUCAAAAAAUUGCCAAAAAAAAAAAAAUCGAAGAGCAAUUUUGAAGAAAUAUGCAAAAGAGAGAGGAUAGGAAGCUCACAUUUCGCGGACUGUUUGAUCGAAGACCUUCAUGAAAUCCAUGAUUGGAUCUGCGAAAUGAAAUGAAAUGAAUACCCGAAUGGAAUUUGCUGGUAAUAUUAUUAUGUAGAUCUGUAGGAUAAGGGAUUUAAUAAAACCAGAGUUUGUUAAAAAGGAGAAGUAAAACCUUUGAGUGGAGAUGUUAAGAAUUUUCAGAUCUCGGGAGGUGGUUCGUUUUGCAGCUUGCAGGGAGGAGAUAGAAGAUACGUAUCGAGUUAAAAAUAAAAAAUAAUUAAAAAAAAUUUUUAAUGCGAGACCAGUCACAAACUGAUAAUUAAAUUAACAAACAAAGGUGGCGGGUGAUGUUAGUUUUUUUCUUAUAACCAUUUUUAUUUACUUCAUUUUAUCAAAAUAUCGCAUCUUGUCCGGCAUGUUGUUCGACAAAACCUAUUUGAAAAGAAAACGACCAUAUGACAUAAAGACUAAACCACAAAACUAUUGAAACCAUAGCCGAAUAUUUGAAUGACGAUACCGUCGAACGACAGGAUAACUAUGGAAAUAUGGGCCUUACCAAUGACUAAACAAGCCCGCUUACAUCAUCGGCCUACAAAUAGAGCUUGAAAGGUUAAAUGAGCCUAAGAUAACGGACCAAUCCAAUUUUAGAUCCCAAGAUGGCCAAAAUCCUGAAGCCCAUAGUUUACGAGCCACAGUGCGUGAUAGACAAAUUUCCGACCGACGAAAAAGAGUGCGUAACAAUUAUACUUGCAUCUAGAAAUGAACAACUGAGUCGAAUUAAAUCAAAUCAGCUUGGUUUCCGUCUAAUCGAAGGUAUUUUUAUAGUAAAUAAUGUUGGGAAAAUCGCUAUUUUUUCCGCCCUUCGGAUCGGCUUCAAGAGGAACAAAUGAGAAAAUAAAAUAAUAACUGAGAAAUUAAAGAGAACACGAUAGUUUAACGUGGAAAACUCUCCAAGUAGAGAAAAACCACGGCCGUUGCCAAACGACAAUCAAGAAAAAUAUUCACUAUGCGGCAAAUUGUUACAACCACAAUUACAAAAUAUUUUUCUACCCGACACCCUCAAAACACCCCAAAUAUUUUAUACUCCAAGGGAUUUCAAAAGACUCCCUAAUAUAAAACACGUUCAAGUGUGUUUUGGUGUGUUUGGAAAGCUAAACAUUAGCUUCCUUUUAUAACCAAACCNNNNNNNNNNNNNNNNNNNNNNNNNNNNNNNNNNNNNNNNNNNNNNNNNNNNNNNNNNNNNNNNNNNNNNNNNNNNNNNNNNNNNNNNNNNNNNNNNNNNNNNNNNNNNNNNNNNNNNNNNNNNNNNNNNNNNNNNNNNNNNNNNNNNNNNNNNNNNNNNNNNNNNNNNNNNNNNNNNNNNNNNNNNNNNNNNNNNNNNNNNNNNNNNNNNNNNNNNNNNNNNNNNNNNNNNNNNNNNNNNNNNNNNNNNNNNNNNNNNNNNNNNNNNNNNNNNNNNNNNNNNNNNNNNNNNNNNNNNNNNNNNNNNNNNNNNNNNNNNNNNNNNNNNNNNNNNNNNNNNNNNNNNNNNNNNNNNNNNNNNNNNNNNNNNNNNNNNNNNNNNNNNNNNNNNNNNNNNNNNNNNNNNNNNNNNNNNNNNNNNNNNNNNNNNNNNNNNNNNNNNNNNNNNNNNNNNNNNNNNNNNNNNNNNNNNNNNNNNNNNNNNNNNNNNNNNNNNNNNNNNNNNNNNNNNNNNNNNNNNNNNNNNNNNNNNNNNNNNNNNNNNNNNNNNNNNNNNNNNNNNNNNNNNNNNNNNNNNNNNNNNNNNNNNNNNNNNNNNNNNNNNNNNNNNNNNNNNNNNNNNNNNNNNNNNNNNNNNNNNNNNNNNNNNNNNNNNNNNNNNNNNNNNNNNNNNNNNNNNNNNNNNNNNNNNNNNNNNNNNNNNNNNNNNNNNNNNNNNNNNNNNNNNNNNNNNNNNNNNNNNNNNNNNNNNNNNNNNNNNNNNNNNNNNNNNNNNNNNNNNNNNNNNNNNNNNNNNNNNNNNNNNNNNNNNNNNNNNNNNNNNNNNNNNNNNNNNNNNNNNNNNNNNNNNNNNNNNNNNNNNNNNNNNNNNNNNNNNNNNNNNNNNNNNNNNNNNNNNNNNNNNNNNNNNNNNNNNNNNNNNNNNNNNNNNNNNNNNNNNNNNNNNNNNNNNNNNNNNNNNNNNNNNNNNNNNNNNNNNNNNNNNNNNNNNNNNNNNNNNNNNNNNNNNNNNNNNNNNNNNNNNNNNNNNNNNNNNNNNNNNNNNNNNNNNNNNNNNNNNNNNNNNNNNNNNNNNNNNNNNNNNNNNNNNNNNNNNNNNNNNNNNNNNNNNNNNNNNNNNNNNNNNNNNNNNNNNNNNNNNNNNNNNNNNNNNNNNNNNNNNNNNNNNNNNNNNNNNNNNNNNNNNNNNNNNNNNNNNNNNNNNNNNNNNNNNNNNNNNNNNNNNNNNNNNNNNNNNNNNNNNNNNNNNNNNNNNNNNNNNNNNNNNNNNNNNNNNNNNNNNNNNNNNNNNNNNNNNNNNNNNNNNNNNNNNNNNNNNNNNNNNNNNNNNNNNNNNNNNNNNNNNNNNNNNNNNNNNNNNNNNNNNNNNNNNNNNNNNNNNNNNNNNNNNNNNNNNNNNNNNNNNNNNNNNNNNNNNNNNNNNNNNNNNNNNNNNNNNNNNNNNNNNNNNNNNNNNACACCCGCUUCAAGACUUCCAAAACUCCACCUGCUUUUAAAAUAAAAUAAUUUCUAACAACAGUAUUUCUGAUGUGGAAGAUCAGACUAAGCCGCAACCACAGAGCAUACUUAUAAUUACAAGAAAUUAUUUUAACACUAAAAGCUCCGCCUAACAACUAGGCUCUGAUACCACUUGUUGGGAAAAUCGCUAUUUUUCCCGCCCUUCGGAUCGGCUUCAAGCAGGAACAAAUGAGAAAAUAAAAUAAUAACUGAGAAAUUAAAGAGAACACGAUAGUUUAACGUGGAAAACUCCCCAAGUGGAGAAAAACCACGGCCGUUGCCAAACGACAAUCAAGAAAAAUAUUCACUAUGCGGCAAAUUGUUACAACCACAAUUACAAAAUAUUUUUCUACCCAACACCCUCAAAACACCCCAAAUAUUUUAUACUCCAAGGGAUUUCAAAAGACUCCCUAAUAUAAAACACGUUCAAGUGUGUUUUGGUGUAUAUAGAAACCUAAACCUUAUUUCCUUUUAUAGCCAAUCUACUAUCCUCCAUAAUCUCUUCUCCCCGAUGCGGGAUUGAGCUAAACAAAUUUUUUAUAUUUUUUUUCUUUUGUUUUCAAUGAUGGCGGCUAACAAAUAAAUCCAAAACUGAAUAAUUUUCGUUGUAUUUAUAUAUUGGUGUCAAAAUUUGAUAUCAUAACAAAUAAAACCAUAAAAUAUAAAUAUGUUACAAAGUCAAACCUGAAUAUGAUAAAAAUAUAUUUAAAUCACUCAACAUCGAACCAACCUAUUAUUAGUUUCUUCUGAUACAGAAAAGAAAUCAAACCAAAAGACUUAAAAUAAAACAGAACACUAAAAACAUAAGUACUGCCCAAGUGAAUGUCCAGCGGACAGACAGAAACACAUAUUGUGUAUAUAUAACUAUAUCAAGAACAUAAUAUAUAUAUAACAAUCUUCUAAACCCAUUAGCUAAAUCUUUUGGAUUAUAAGUUGUAAACCAUGCUGAGGUUCCACAAGCAUUCUAAAAGCAGGAGAAUGCAUAUAAUUAGGAGACAAGGAUAAUACAAACUUGGAGAUGAUAAGAGAAAUAACAAUUUUCAAUUCCACCAUAGCAAAGUGUCUACCUACACACAAGCGAGUCCCAAUUCCAAAUGGGAUAUAAGCUUGAGGAAAUUUGCAAGCUUUAGAGAGCCCAUCAGCAAAUCUUUCUGGUCGAAACUUGUCAGCAUCUUGUCCCCAAAUGUUAGGAUCCCUAUGUAAUGUUGAAAUCAAAGUCCAUGUGCACACUCCUUUUGGGAUUGUAAUGUUUCCAAUUUGAACUUCUUGAAAUGCCUCUCUUACCACAAACCCUGCUGGUGGGAAUAGCCUUAGUGAUUCUUGAAUCACCAUAGUCACCUAUUCAGGUAAAAUAAAUCACACAUCAUCACUCGAAACUUCAAAAAAUAAAAAAUAAAAAAUCAAUCUUGAUUAAUACCGUUUUUAGGUUGGAUAGUGAAUUUGCAUCUAGCAAUUCACUAUUGCAAAAUUGAGUAAUCUCUGCCCGGAUUUUAGAUUGCCAAUCUGGAUGUAAAGCGAGAAGCAUCAAGCACCAAGUAGCAGAAAUAGCAGUUGUGUCAUGUCCUGCAAAGUAUAGGCUCUUGCAAUUAUCGACUAUAAAUUGCUUCGGCGAAAGUUUUCCUGCAUUAGUAUUGUUCACAGCCUCCUCAAGUAUUAGCUGCAUUAAGUCCUUUUCAAUUGAACUUUGCCUUUGGCGUUCUUGAACUGUCUCCCAUAUUAACGUCUCUAUCUCUCUUUCCAAGCUGCUAAUCUCUCUGCAGUUCUUUCUAAGAAAAAUAAAAUAAUAGCCAAGUGAUCUAAAUUUCAAAUAAACUGUAAAGCUAUUAAUUUACAGAGGCAGUACCGUAAUGGGAAGUAAUUAAAGUACGUACCGGAAAUUUGUGGAGCCAAAGAGGGUGCCUUGCCUGGUAAGGGCUUUAUGAAGAAAUCUAAGCUUAGAGAAAAUUUGUUUGCCUUUGAAAUAAGAGGUCCCAAAACAGGCUCUUGCAAUGACAUUUGCAGAGAGACCCCUCAAAUCUUCAUCAACUCUAAUUUCUGCCGGGACUCCACCUUGGGUUCCAAUGCGUUGCUCCCACUCUCCUAUCAAUACUUGGGUUGACUCCACCAUUAGCCCCACCAUGCUCUGCUUGUAUUUUCAUGGACCAAUACAUUAAUUUUCUCUUUUUCUUCAAGAUCCAUAGAUUCUAGCUAAUCAAGUGAUUAUCCAGUUGGUCUUUUCAUUUAUUUGAUUAAUAAAAAGUCUCAAGUUUAGAUCCUUUUCACAAUUUAUGUAACUCGUAGUGUUAUUUCGAUCCAUUGGACCAUAAUCAAUAAAAAAUAUUGAAAAUUUUAAGAUUAAAAUAUUUUUUUUUACUUAAUUGAAAAGAAGCAUUACCUUGAUCUUGCCCAUGAAAAAUUCUGGUGCUACAAUUUUGCGUUGUAGAGCCCAAAAGUGAAGUGAUUAUCCAGUUGGUCUUUUCAUUUAUUUGAUUAAUAAAAAGUCUCAAGUUUAGGUCUUUUUUACAAUUUAUGUAAUUCGUAGUGUUAUUUCGAUCCAUUGGACCAUAAUCAAUAAAAAAAUAUUGAAAAUUUUAAGAUUAAAAUAUUUUUUUUUUACUUAAUUGAAAAGAAGCAUUACCUUGACCUUGCCCAUGAAAAAUUCUGGUGCUACAAUUUUGCGUUGUAGAGCCCAAAAGUGACCGUUGGAUCUCAUAAUACCAUUGCCAAACAUGGGCGCAAAUCUUUUAGUCACAUAAGGAGGCUUGCCUAAGGCCAGAGUGUUGCACUGGUUCAUUUCCUUCACAAACUCAGGAUCGGUUACGUACAAAUGUUGCUUAAACCCUGUUGAAUAUAUGUAUAUUGGACCUGCAUUUUCAUAUAUAUUUCAAUAGAUUUGAACCCAAGUUUAUUCCGCAAAAUGGAAAAAAAAAUCUAAAAACAUUAAAUUUUUUUAUGUAAUAGACACAUUAAAUUGUUUUAUAUAUAUGUGUAUAUAUAUAUAUAUAGAUAGAUAGAUAUUAAUGAGAUUCAUUUGUACAAGCUGUACAAUUUACUUUUACAAAAGAAACAAAAGAAAAAUCUAAAAACAAAAUGUGGAGCUACAAUAAUUGGGUUUUUGGUGUAGGAUUUAGGAUUGGAUCGGUCAAAAAAGUGACCCAAAUAAAAAUGGGUCAGUAAGAAUAACGUAACUACCAUCUUUAAUGAAACAAUUAUUAAUGGGCCAACUUUGAUUCUAGCUAGUUCCGGACUGAACCGAAUCUACUUGGUCCCCUUCAGUUGACAGCUCCAUCCAACUGCCACUACUUUUGAUCCUUAAAUAAAUCACCACGUAUUCCAACUAAUUUGCAUUAUGUCCCUUCUUCUUUUUUUUAUCGGUCCUUUUUUACCCUAAAUUCCCCGCCUUGCUAGUCGAAAGUAAAUUGUGAAUUCAAAAACGUUUUUAAUGAAUUUGAUUUCACAUUAUAUAAUGCACUAUUUUUACACUAUCCAAUUAUUUAUAAUGCACAAUGUCAUAAUGUUUAUAAUUACUGCUUAUUAGAGAUUAAACGAGCGUUUCACAACAGCUAAAAACUACCAAAUUAACUAAUUUUAUCGAAUAUGGUAUAAAGAAUUUAUUAAGUGUGUAAAACAAAGAUGCACCCUUUCUAUUAUAUUUCUACCUAACUUUUUUUUAUUUCAGGUCUCCUAAUAGAAAUUCCAAGUUUUAAUCACUUAAAUAUCUCCUUAAAAUUACGUCACUAUAUUCUAGAAAAUUAAAAUUGAAACUCUUGUCAACAGAUAAAUAGUAAGACACUUAAUUUGGCCAAAUUUAAUUGUUUUACUAUUAGAGCUAAUGUAAAUGAUGUUCCCUAAUUGACUAGUAAUAUGUAAUUAAUACUUUAAUUUAAUGAUGAACUGAGGUUAUUUGGAGUUAAAUCAUAUUAAAAAUUUCAAUAACACUUCUAAGUCAAUUCCGUAUCAAAUCUAAUAAUAGUAAUAAUAAUAAUAUAAUAAUAAUUCUAGUUCCUUUAUGCUGAAAAAUAAAAACAAAUUGCAUCUCUGCUGUUUAAAAAUUUAAAAUAUAUACCAUUAUAUAUAUAUAUAUAUAUAUAUGCGUGGAUUUAUAUAAACACAUUAUUUGAAAUCAUUAUCAUCGACAGAUGUAAUAGAUAUACAUAUCAAUCACAUAUAAAUAUAGUCAUGCGCACGUUGUCUGUUUUCAGUAAAAAGAAAAAGAAAAUGAACAAGCUGCAAGCCUGCAAUGAAUCGGUCAAAUCAAAUUAAGAUGUUUUCACAUUGGUUUACAUCAAAAUUUCAAAAGAAAGAAAUAGAUAGAUUGAAACAAAGGCUUCUGAUAAAAAUGUGUUUGAGCAUGCAUCAAUUCAAAUAAACUCAAAAAAUAUUCGGAAUUUAAUCUCAAAAAUUCAAAUCUUAUUCAGCAAUUGCAAAAUUUAAAGAGAGUUUUUGAUGAACUCACCAUAUUGUUUUCUCCAAUGUUCGAAGUAAGGGAAAAUAAUAGAAGUAUAAUCUUGAGCAACAAUAUCAUCAACUUGGGUUGGAGCUUCUUUUCUUGAAUUCUUGAACUGGAUUUCUUGCAUUUCAGGAAGAUUUCCAUAAAGAAAAGAAGGAGAAGGCCCUUUAAUACCUUGCAUUUGGAGCUUCUUCUUCGCUUUCUUUGGCCCAAGCAAGAUUUCCUUGAUCAAAUAAACAACUCCAAUAAUUGCAACAGAAGAAAAGAUUCUAAGAAGAGAGAUCUCCAUUUCUCUUCCUCUCUCUCUCUCUCUCUCUCUAUUUCUUGUAUUUGUUCUUGAGCCAAGUUAAUUUGUGUAUAUCAUGGAAGCUAGCUAAUGCCACUAGCAAUAUAUAUAUAUAUAUAUAUAUAUAUAGAGAGAGAGAGAGAGAGAGAUUGAAUGUUUGACCAAACUUUGGGCUUAUUUAAUUAUAUCAUGCAUGAUGCAUGCAAAGUAACACCGCUAAAAUGAUUGGACGAUCAAAUGAGGAAUCUAAGGAGCACAAAAGGUGUUUAUUGGUGUACUGAGCAGGAAUGAUAGAGAUAUUGAUGAGACCUGGAAUUCACUGUUAUUCAUUGAAUAAUAAUGUAGCCAAAUUAGUAUAAUAUAAACCAAUAUGAUAAAAAUAUGCAACUUGGCUUAGUUAGCAAUAUAGACUGGAUAUGUGGGAAGAACUCUCGUGUUUAAUCCCCUACUAAAUACAACUGUAGGAAAGGUGAAAGGUCUCAACUGUGAUUAAGUCCUGAACCUGAUUAGACAAUUCUUAAUAAUAGAAUCCGAAUACCGAUGGUUUACACAAAAUAAAUAAAUAAAUAUGAUAACAUACAAUAAUUACAUAUUAUUAUAAAUUGUUAAUCUAUUAUUGAUGUCGAGACACCUCAAACGAUCUUAAUUAUUUUUAAAUUUUAUUUUAUUUUGUAAUUAAGUUUAUUUUUAUAUUUCCAUAAUAGAAUCCCAGUAAAGGAAUUUUUCAUAUUUAUUAUGUUAUUUAUUUAAUAUAUAUGUGACCUUAUAAAUUUAGAAUUUAUUUAUAUAAAAAUUUUAUCAAAAUUAUAAUAUAUAAUUAAUUUCAAUAUUCAAAAGUGGGCCUAAUUUAGAAUUUUUUUUAUUAUAUAAUUUGAUACAUAGGUUAAGACUUGCCUAGACACAGUGCAUCGUAUGGGUCCCAUACAGCAAGCGAAUGAAUGAAUGAUUUUUGUAAAAUUUAUUAUUGUUUUAUCUUUUUGCUCUUAGUGAAUGAUUAGAAAUACUCUCACUGCAAUAAUAUAUAUAUAUAUAUAGGUGAACUCAUACGCUGAGAGUAAAUAAGUAUCUUUAAAGCUAUAAAUUGAAAACAUAAUUAAUUAUUCUAUAUAUCUUCAAUAAUAUAAAGAGUAAAAACUUUUCAUUUCACAGCAAUAAAAAUAUGAUAAAUAAAUCUUUAAUAUAGCCUAGAUCUAUUAUUCACAGAAUUUGUUUAGUAAAUAUACAACAAUCGGAAGCGUACCUAGAUCUAUGUUAUGGAUUACCUCGUUGCGGCAAUUUGAUUCUUCACUCUGGCCUUUUCUCUGUAAGUUUUCUCUCAAUGGUCAGGGAGUUUUUAUUCACGCUCUCUCAAACAACCUAUCAUUGUAUGUGUUUGAAGUAACCGUCACACUCUCUAUUUUCUUUUCUUUUCUGUGUUAACCCUAAGCUGUUGAUUCCUUUAUCUUUUAUAAGGGAGGCAGAGGAAGGGGAUUAAAACCCUAACUGGCCCUUAUUCAUUAAGACUAAUAAUCAUCAUCUUGGGCUACCUUAAUUAGAAUCAGCCCUUUAAUUACAUGGGCCACGUAUAGAUUAUUAAAUAAUCUAACAAAAUAUCUUCUAUGCGGAGCAUUAUUGACAACUAAUUAAGUAGAUUGCUACUCUAUGAUACUUAUGGAAUUGUUUAUCUUAGAACGUGCAUGUCUUAAUUUUCUAUUUGAAGAAGUUAUUUUCUUUACUUGUAGUAAAAUAAAAAUAAAAAAAAAUUAAAAAAAAAAAAAAACACUAUGUAUAAAUAUUCUUUGAGUGUAUCCUAUGAAUUACAAGUCACUAAUCUAUUGUUAGGUAGCUUUGCUUGUUUAUUUUCUUCAUACCCAGAAAAGAAAAAAGAAAAAGUAGUGGACACCCAUGCAUGGCCACAAUAAAUAAAAAAGGAGACCAAAAAAUAAUAAUAUCCAAAAAAUCAAAAUGCCCAAAUAAUUGCAAGCACUGUAACCACCAUAAGAGAAGAUAUUGAUGUACUAUGUUUUAGUACUUGGACAAGUUUCAGCUUCAAAUUCUGAUAUUUCAUUCUUGUGUUGCAAAAAGCUUAGUAAAGGAACUGAACAAGGGUAGAUCCAACAUGUACCCUCUAAGAUAAGGGCAUGGACGGAUGGACCUUCUUCGAUUGGACAAAAAGAGAUGCCAUACUGAUGCAGUUAGCUAAGGCUAAAAUGUGCCUAGACACUGACACGAUUGAUUGAAGUUUGAUUAUUGAUUAUUGGUCAUUGGUCGGGCUAGGAUGGACCCAAAUUGGGUCAUUCUUUCAUUAUCCAGCCCAAAUUGAUUCCAUGUCUGAACUGGCAUCACCUUUACUUAGACCCAGUCUCCGGAUUUAAAAAACCAAUGAAAACUAUUUUUUUAAAACAAAAUGAGAACAGUCUUUAGAAAAAUCUUUAUUAUAAUUGAUUUCAUUCGUAAACAGACCUAAACAUCGUGUUUAUUAUUUUCAAGAGUUUAUUUUUUAAAUUUGAGAGUGAGGGAGACCUUAAACUGAUUAAAUUAAAAGUACAUUUUUUACGAGGUCAGGUUGUAUUAGAGAUUGAUAAUUUAAUAGUGAAAUAGGCUUUAGAGAAAAACGAAGUGAAUCAUUUUUAUUUUACAAAAUUAAUUCAUGAUCGUAAGUCUUAUAUAUACAAAAAUUUACUUCAUUACAGUUUUCGUCUGUUAAAAAAUUAGCGAAUCAAGUGGUUCAUAUAUUAGUUAGAGCUGCUAGCUCAAUUUUCUGAUUUAUUGGAAUUUAAUAGUUAUCCUCCAUCCAUUAUUUGUAUGUAAUGCCCUUUAAUAUUAAUAAUAAUUAAUCAGUAUUAAUUUAAAAAAGAAAGAACUAACAAUAUAAAAAAAUAAAAAUAAAAAGCUGUGUUGUCUAAUCGAAAAUCCAAUGAUGUUAGUGGUUUCCGUGAGUAGCGUACAAUGAAUGUAUGAUGAGGUGAGAGGAGAGGAUUGCCCAUUUCCUAUCAUUGUUGCAGCGAUCAAUCAAACUCCACCAAACAAAGAAUUUGGAUGCGAGAGAUCUCACUCACCGCUUUAGUGUGGCCAUUGCUGAUUAAUGUAUACGGUUCCAUCAACAUAGUUUUCAGCACAUGGGAUCUAUGCUUUCCUUCUUCGUUUUUAAAUAAUGACCAUUGGUACAAAUAAAUAUAUUAUUCACUAAAAAAUAAUAAUAAAGGGUAUUUUUUUUUUAAAUGAUAAUUAAUAUAUGAGAAAUAGAUAUAUAUAGCAAAAGUAGACAAAUAUUUUUUCAUCCCAUCAAACCAAAUGUGAUGGUCCUAUGCCUAGUGAAAUUGAUAGGUUACGAUACAUGAUAAAUUCAGAAUAAUUAUUAGAAAAUAAUGCUUAAAAAAUCUGGUAUGUACAAAUUGAUCUCACAACAUUGGCACGAGCGAGCUAGCUAGCAAGGAAAAGGACAUUACACAUUACAUAUCCAAGUCAUUGACCUAAAAACCCAACCAUGCAAAGCUACCUACAUUAACUAUACAAAAUUAAGGGUCAAUGUCAAGAACACCAUUAGAAAACUUUUGGGUGUCACAUUCAUAUAUACAACCAAUCACAAGUUAGAUUUAAAUUUUUAUUAAUUAAUACCUAUAAAUCAAUAAUAAGAAUAUUAUAUCACAAGCAAAAAUAAAAUUAAAAUUUACCUUUCAAUAUGAGGGUGGCAGGCAAGUUGCGAAUCCAGAAAAUUAAAUUAGUGAGGACAAUGUAUAAAAGUUAUAAUUCAGUGGGGGUAAAAUAUGAAAAUUCAGUGGAAUAAAUAUAAAUUAACAUAAUUAUAUAUAUUAAAAUGUAAAAAAUUAUAAACUGAACCGUAAAAAGUCAGCGGAACAAGUGACCCUAUUACCCCCAUUAUAAAUCUGCACCUGGUGGCAGGUAUGAGACGAUCGAAAAUAAAUUUACUUUUUUUAAUUACAUUCAUAAUUUUGUAAAUUCACAUUUUUUUAGGUUUCUACUUCAGCGUAUAUUCUUUGUUUCUAGCUGAUAAUUAGAGAUGGCCGGUUCAGACUCCGUCAAUUUUAGUUCCAAUUGAGUUUCAUGAUUGCAAAUGUUUUUUUUUUUUUUUUGUUAUUUUGACAAGAGCUCGAGUCAUCCAUCCAUAGAUCAACAAUGAAAAUUAAGUUUUUUUUUUUUUUUUGAAACUAAUAUAUUUCUAACCGAUAGAAUUAAAAGAGAGAAUACUCGUAAAUUGCCAUUGAAUGUAAUAUAUCCUAAUGAGAUGUGAUACAAACAUUUAUAGUACAUUUUCUAUUCUAACUGAAGAGAUAGAUAUCGAGUAAGAAUCCUAAUCAUAAAUGUUGCGAGAAUCUUGAGCAUUAAUUACAUGAUUAAAUAAAUAUUUGACCGAGCAUUACUUUGUUUAUAUUAGUUUGAGUAACGCUCGGUCAAUUCUUAAUAAUUAUUCCUAUCAUUAACCGUUCACUAAGAAAAAAAAAUGAAAAUAUAUAGAGUGCAAAUCAAAAUCACAUGUAGAAUGACUAAUUGAUUGUUUAUAUCAAAUUACUCUUAUAAUUGAGAGGAUUCGAAUUCAAGACUUUCCACUACUAACGUAACUUCAAGCCUUUUAUCUAUAAGAAUAUUCAUUAAUUUUAUAAGAAAUAAAAAAAAAAAGGAGUUGUCACCAAUUGUAUAACAUUGAUUUUUUUUUUUUUUUUUUUUUUUAGAAAAAUCAAAUUAGAACAUCGGAGUUCUUUUUACCUCUUAGGAAUUUUAGAAAAAAAGAAAAGAUUUUAAUAAUCCUGAAUCCAGUAUUUAUUAAAAUUGGGAAAAUUUUCAAAACUGCAUUAAUGAUCUAAAACAAUGUAUAACUGACAGCACUGAAUGUGAAUGGUACCUUGACACGGUUGUCUUUUUUCUUCAUCUUCAUAUUCUUGUUUUGUCGAUAUUAUUCAUUUUAUUUAAAUAGGCAUGGAACAAAGGAUAUACGUAAUGCCAACAAUAUAUAGGAUAAUAACUAAUCUAAAACAAUUUUUAAUAAGAAAACGACAAUAACUGCUGGAAACGACAUGCUGUACCUGAUCUUGCAAUUUUGUUCCCUUUGCACAAUCCUUUUUCAAAUUCAACUUCAUUUGCGUCGACGAGGGCGACAACCAUUUUUAACUCGGUCUAUGAACGACAUGACGUCCAAAUUUCACACAAAUGAAAUCGUGUUAUCCAUAAACAAAGUCGUUUCACAUAAACGCCAUUCCACCGUCUGGGUUUCACUCAAAGAAUCCAAAAGGCCAAAACUUCCACUUUCCUGUCUUGGGGGUUGGAAAACUACGUAGUUCAUAUCUUAUUUCUUUUGUCUCUCUUUCAUUCAAAAUUACAUGUGGUAGAAAAAAUUACGCAAAUCAAGAAUGGUAUGCUACAAAAUAAAUAUUUGCGAUAAAAAAUAAAUGAAAGUAAUCACUUACGUUGACACGAAAUUUAAAAUUGGGUAAAACUAAAAAAUAAAUGUUGAAUAAUAUAAUUAUAAAAAUUACAAUUCAUUUUUAAAUUCUUAAAAGUCUAAUGACUUAUUAUAUUGAGUGCAAAUUGAAGUUAAAAAUUUUAAUUUAUUAUUUUAAGUGAAUUUUAGCUUAACUAGGAUGACUAGGUCCGGUGAAACACAAGACUGUACUGAAUUCUUUUCACAUGGAAGCUGAUGUACUAAUUGACUAUUUCAAAUAUAUAUAUAUAUAUAUAGAAAGAGAAUCUUUUAUGGUCACCAUGGUGAAGUUUGAACAGGCCAAAGAUAACCAGUAAUCUCCAUGCAAUUUUCAUGACACCUAAUAGCCAGCAAGAAACAACUUUGAUGGCUCAAUUUAUUUCCUUACAAGAAAUAAAAACCAAAAUAUAAAAAUAUGUUGAUAUGUAUCUAAUAUGCAUCUAAUAUUGUUGGGGAUAUCCUCCCAAGUCCCACAUCGGAUAAAGAGGAGAAAUGGAACCAAAAUAUAAUGGUUCAAAUACAACCCAUUAGUAUGAGGCCUUUUGGGAGGUGCCCAAAAACAAAUCCGUAAGAGCUUGGACCAAAGCGGACAAUAUCAUACUAAUUCGGGGUUGGAUGGUACGCGCGGUCCCAACAAGUGGUAUCAGAGCCCAGAUUCGGAGCGGGUGUGAACAGCGGACUGCGCAGUGUGAGAAAAUCUCGGUGUGACGGUGUAACAACAGGACCAAGACCAAAAGAAAAUCUGCAAGUGGUGCCUUGUGUCGAAAGUCUUUCCGACAAGAGGAGGUCGGGCGGCGUGUCGCGCAAAAUUGUAGCGGCGGUACAAGAUGGUGGGGAGGUCACGAUUUGUGUGGUCCUUGGUUGGAGGGGAGGGUUGUUGAGGAUAUCCUCCCAAGUCCCACAUCGGAUAAAGAGGUGAAAUGGAACCAAAAUAUAAUGGUUCAAACCCAACCCAUUAGUAUGAAGCCUUUUGGGAGGUGUCCAAAAACAAAUCCGUGAGGGCUUGGACCAAAGCGGACAAUAUCAUACUAAUUCGGGGUUGGAUGGUACGCGCGGUCCCAACAAAUAUCUAGAUACAGUCUCACUUAAUGAAAUUUUUAGUUUGAUUUCUUCUUUAAAAAAAAAAAAAUCAAAAUCAAAAUCCAAACAUAUAUUUUCUUAGAAAAAAUAAUAUUUAAUUAUACAAUCAAAGACCUGCAAAUUAAUAAUUCGCUAAAAAAUCUACAAAUUCAGCUUCAGUUAAUAAAACAUAUAUACAAUGUGAAGGACAAUUAAUUGUCAAUCUCUGUUAAUAAUUAAUAAUUAACACUCACAUGCUUGGGCUGCAAUAAUUACUUGAAGCAAUUUCACUUGCUGCUUUAUCUUGAUCAAACAAAUCAAGGCCAUUAAAAGAAUAAUAAUCAUAGUCAGGAAAAUCAUAGCUAGAAUCCAUUAAAGUCUCUCCAACACCAUUAGUAGGCGGCGUUGAUGAGUCUAAAAUGCUUGACCCUUCUUUGGUAUUGACAAAAGAAUCACAGAAGGUGAAGGUGCAGUUGGUUUCAGUCUCUGGGAAAGGAACACAAGGAAGGACUGUCACUGAAUUAGGGUUAAUAAAAUUAAUAGUAUUGGUGUUAUAAUAAUUAGCACUAGCAGGAGGAUUAAUAUUAUUAGGGUUUGUAUUGUUCUCGAUUGUUUUUCCUCCAUUAAGUAGCUUCUUCUUUAACUUGGUGUUCCAAUAAUUUUUCACAUCAUUAUCUGUUCUUCCGGGUAGGCGAGAGGCUAUUAGAGACCAUCUGACAAAAAGAAUUAAAUUAACAAGUUGAAGCAUUAAUUAUGAAGAAUCAAAUUAAUACAUUAUUGGUUUGAUUUGUAGGAAAUUUCAGGUUCGAACUCUCCGACCGGACUCAGAGAGAUAUAGCUCAUAAUAUUAUUUCAACCCUAUUAAUGUCUCAAAGUUCGAACUCAAUUGAUAACUAAAUUAAUAAAUAAUAAUAAUAAUAAUAAUUUGGGUAUAUGCUAAUGAGAAUGAAAAAUAAUUAGAGAGAUUAACUUGCCUGCUACCCAUUUGAUUAUAAAGACUGAAUAUGAUAUUAUCUUCCUCUUCAGUAAAUCCUCCAUGUUUGAUAUCUGGCCUGAGAUAAUUUAGCCACCGUAGGCGGCAGCUCUUGCCGCAUCGCUUAAGGCCUGUAAUGAAAUAAAAAUGAUUGAGUUUCAGGUGGAAACUAAAAAUAAAUUAGGCGAUUAAAAAUGUAAUUUUAUUCUUCGGAUGCCGUAUGAUUUCCAGAAAAAAAAAAAAAAAAAAAAAAAAAAAAAAAAAAAAAAAAAACAAUUGCCGUUUUAAUUCCAAAAAAAAAAAAAAAAAAAAAAAAAAAAAAAAAAAAAGAAUGCAACUUUAAUUAAAAAAAAACAUACCAGCUUUUUGGGGCAAGGCAAUCCAAUUACCAGCAGUGCCAUGGGUUUGAAGGUAACGUUUAAGAGCAGCAUCUUCUUCAGGAGACCAUGGUCCUCUUUUCACGUUUGCUUUGUCACAGCAGGGAGCUCUCCCCAUAGCCA
rnacentral:lncRNA from 1 species